rnacentral:lncRNA from 1 species
CCUAUGUCAUCGUACGAUUAUUGUAAUCAGUAAAAGAUUUUCAUCGCAAGAUAUCAAGUCAUCACGCAGAUAAAUGCAUUAAUUAAACAAGACUGGAAAUGGAACAAAAGAAACAGAAUAUUUGACUUCACAGAGUACCACUAGAUACGGGGGAUAAAGGCCAUCAUGUAGGCAAAGGAACAAAAAUAGGGGAAAAAAGGAAAUAAAAGAGAUAUAGUGCAUCACUACCAACUUGAUAGUGAAAGAAUCCAUUGAAGAGUCGAAACCAUUGACAUCAUUACUGAUUGGUCUGUGAUGUCUCUUCAAAAGUUCCCACUUCAUUUCACGAAGGACGUCAUGGUGAGGUAUAUUGACCUGGAUCUCGACCUGAAAAUAGACCAAAGGCAUCCAUAACAUUUACAGAUUACAUAUAACAAAACCAUCAUCUGGAAAGAAAUGAUGUAGAACGUGUAUUCAGUAUCUUACUAAUUAACACUGGAUGACAGAUAAUUAAGUGGCUUGAGUCUUCAAGCAAACUUACUGAACAAAGAGAUUAUAAAUACUCAACUAAUUGCAAUUACUAUGCUCCCAUGAAAGACAUCCAACUUAUCAAAGAGGUUUUUAAGCAAGUGCUAGAUCAAAAGUAGUCUUGUUCAUGGAGUCAAAGGGAAAAUAGUUUUGUUACCAAAAACAAACUUCUAGUCAAAGUGUUAAAUCAAACUAAGAAGUGUGAAUUAAGCAACGGAAACGUUCUCCCAACAUAACAAAGCAAUCAUUGUGACUAUAGUGAACAGAAAUCCAAGACUGACCUGGUCGUGGAUGUUGGAUGAAAGUGUAAACCCAAAGUCAAGAAGCAGGGUAGCAUUUGAAAAUUUUCCGUAUCUUAUCAGUACCUAUACAAAUAUACAAAUCGCAGUCCAGAGUUACAACUUUAAACAACCACUUCUGCAAUAUAACCAUAGUCACGAACUGCUCCAGAGGAUGCUUCCAUGUACCAUCCAUUCAUACUAAUAAUAGGAAACCCCAAACUUCCAGUAAUUUCUAAAUAUUAAUUCCACAGCAUAUCUCAAGCAAUAUUGUGCUUUUUACUCUAACAUAGACCCUGUGUUCAUGUAUUGUGAUCCGUUAUCUGUUAACACACAAUGACCACUGAGGAAUAAAAAGUUUUACUAAUUCUUUGUCAUGAAAAUUUCAAACCCAACGAGAGACAUCUAAAACGAAAAUGAGUGAAAAUGUUAAUGAGUCGUCUACAAAAACAAAAAUUGAUCAAAUGUUUCAAAACAAAAAUGAAAUUCCAAAGGGUGCCUGUAAUUUUAAAUAGGGGAAAAAAGCCAUCUUAAUUAAGUAGCAUCUAACCUGUUCAUCAGGAGCAUAAUUGCGGUCAGCAAUGACCUGCCCAGAUAAAGAACAGGCAUGGAAAAUCAAGAACAUUGUUCACACAUAUCCCUGAUAUGUAUAAAUUUUAAAGGGAGCUAAAAACUGCAAAUACAAGUAGCAUAGCAUCCCAAUAAUUGAACUAAUAUAAAGCAAUAAAAACAUAAAAAAGACUCAAUUUCCAUAAGAGUGCGGAAUGAAGGGGAGAAUAUAAAAUUCUUGUACUCCUAUAACCAAAUCAAGAUGUGAGAUAGAGAAUCAAAACGCAGAGAGAGAGAGAGAGAGAGAGAGUACCUCUGAGAAAUGUUUGUCGUUGUCACUCAACACUAAUGAUUCUGAAGUGCCGUCAUGAUUCAAAAAAUCAGCAAAUGGGAUCUAUAAAAUAAAUUGAAAAUCCAAAAAUUCAUAAGUAAAAAGGAAAUAAUUGAACUUCCAUCAUAAAGCUCAUAACACUAUUUACAACAGAAUCUUUAUAAACGUGUUACCAGGGAAUAACCCUUCAUGCUUCCCCAUGCUCGAGAAGUAACUGCGAAAUCCACUGCGAACCAGUGAGAAUAAGUUGUAUAGAUCUUUAAGAGAUGCAACUGCUGCAACUAAUAAUAUCUAGAAUAGUUUGUAUCCAGGAAUCAUAUAAAAUCGGAAUGAAUAGGUAUAUAGGUAAAUGGAGAUAUAACUAACUAAACUAUAUGAAAUUGGAUUCCAUUGAACAUCUACACCGAUGCUGGCAUUCAUUCAUUUUAUUCAAAAAAUUGGAAUUAAGUACAAUUGAAGCAAAUUAUUCAGACAGUUCAGGACGUGAAAAUGCUUUAAAAUGGAGAAGCUCACCUAAAGCAUAUGCGUGCAUGAAAUCCUUAUAGGUGAUACUUUUGGACAUUUCAGGGAAGUUCUUGAAAGCCUGAAAAUAUGUCGUAGCAAUAAUUAGAAUCUAAAAGUUAAUAACUACGAAGUGAUUGACAAUCAUCUCAUAUCUCAGGUAAGUAUUGACUUGAUUAAGUUUCAAAAGUUAUUAAGUUGACGGGACCCCCACUAUUCCAAAUUCUGAAGAAUGUGUGCCACCAACAGUUUAAAUCCCGAAUUGAGAUGAUGAUAUUAAACUUAAAGCAUAUACAUGGCAGAGGUUCACGCAUGAACGUCCCAAAACCAUUAACCAGUGUAUAAAACAAUCAAGUACUUACCGUCCUAAUUGCCAAAAAUUCCUUUUUGAUUUGAGAUCUUUGAUUAAUUGUUUCCUGAUAUACAGAGCUUUGGCGAAUCAGCUCCAGCUCAUCGUCACUCCAAAAUAUCUAAGAAUAUACAAACAACAUCCAAGUCAAUAACAGCAAAUUCUUGCCAUUCAAAAAAAUGUGUACAACCAAACAAAUCAACUACAUGUAAGAACCAUUGCUCAGUUAAAUUCUUUUCCAUUCAUGUUCAACACAUGCUGUCUGAAUUGACCGUCUAACAACAUAACCUACCAAAUUAUCUCUAGGAAUGCAAAUGAUAAUAUCGUAUAACACUCACCGUGCAAUGCAUCUCCUCCGGGCGAGGAAGCCAGCGAAUGUAAGGGGCCCACCUGGAAUCCUGCAUAAACAAAACCCUCAAACUCCACAGAAAAAAUAUUUCCACAACAUAGUAAUUAAACUAGAACAGCAAUCUACAUUGCCCAUUCUCUGCUCAAACAAAACGACAGUGGCAAGCUUUGCAGCAUCGCCAACUCCAUCACUCAACAAAUCUUUCAGUUCCGGAACGAGAUCAUCCGGAGCUAGUUGCUGCAAUUAUCCACCAAAACAAAGCCUCUUAAAUCAUAUAUUAACAAUUUAAACUGUGAUUAAUAAUGUGAUUAAAGUCUUAAAUAAUUUGGGUUAAGAUUUACCACUCUGUACGGAACCUUCAAAACGCAAUCUCCAGCUGUUAUGCUCUUUGAAGCAAAAAGAGAAGUUCCGUACGCCGAUUUCCCAAUUGAAAGUGCCGACGAAAUCUCGGCGCCGGCCUUCCGCUCCAGCCACGGCAAGAAGUCGUCGGAUUCGACCUGGUAGAGAACGAUGAAUUGUUAGCAGGAGUUUGAUAUGUUUCGGUUUUUCCCGUGAUUGUGAAAUUCUCUGUUUGGCUUUUGGGAUACCUUGGGUUGGGACAAGGAGUGGAAGUUCAGCUUGAUACUUGGAGUGUAGGAGAGGCUGAGAUGUUGACGGCGGAGACGCCAUCGGAUUUUUCGCGCUCCCAGUAGCAUUGCGGUGCGGGAUUGGGACGUCGCCGCUUUGAGGAGAGUGUUGGCUUGGCGCUCGACUGUCGUAUCCACGCGGGGAAGGUGUGGGGAAUUAGUCCGCGGCUGGAAUAAUUUUGAUUUCUGGUUUGAAAGGGACCGGAAUGUGGAAUUACGGUGUUUGCGUGGGGUAUAAACUGAUUAGCUGUUGUUAUAAACUUAUAAUGCUCCUCAACGUUUGGAUAAUCUUUAAUAUUCAAUUAUUGUAAUGAAGUUAUUGAUGUUCAAAAUCGGGUUAAUUUUAAAACAAUGUGAAAUGUUAAGGUGUGAUCUUUGUUCACAAGUUGGGUUACGUUCACGAACGUAAAAGAGUUAUCAUUAAUAAUGUAGAGUUUACAUGAUACAAAUGUUAAAUAUAAUGAUUAUUAGUGAGUUCUAAUAAUGGUUCAGAGAAUCUAAAGACCAUAAGAAGCUUAAUUGUGGGAGAACGAUCUCCCUUUACAGUUGGGUAGAGUCCCAUGUUUUCGUCUACGGCCAAUGUGGGACUCUUAUAACUUUACUUUUAUGUUGACACGUGUUACGUUGUGGUUGAUUUCUUAGUUGGUGAGAAACUCAUGUUCUUCGGCAGGUGUGCCUCAGCACAAACCCUUCAGUACUUAGAAGUUGAUCGGUACUUAGAAGUUUGUAGUGUGAUGAAGUAUGGUACAAAUAGUGUUCCCCAAGUUCCUGAGAGAGAAAAAACAUUCUCGGUUAGAGACUUGCAAAAUCUAACUAAACUUUGUAGUGUAAUAACUAAACUUUUGAGUACCGAACUAACUCUUCCCUAAUAUGAAUUGGCGUGAUUCAGCAAGAAGAGGUGAAUCGUCAAUAACAUAUUUCAACCGCAUUGCAUGUUCCUGACCAUCUUGUUCCACUGCUUCGACAAGACCAUUAACAAUGAAUGAUAAAAUUACCAUAUGAUCAAAUGCAAUACAAAGAUCAAAUACGAAAUUAUCUUCAAAACAUUAUCUACUCAAAGAAGGAAAUGAAACAACAAACAAAUUGCACCGUAACUACAUUAGUUCAUCAUCUUUAAAUAACGUCAUAGUUAGAUCCACAAAAUCGUCUAUCUCCCAUACUCCUACAGUCAUAUGGUUUCAGAUUUGGGUGAUUUUUUAUCAAAAUGAUCUUUGAGACAAGACCUAAAAGAUAGACGGUACAUAUUGUUAAAAUAUAUUACAAAGUGGGUCUCAUAAAAACUUGUGUGAGUUGUGUAAAAAAAGUGGUAUGCACUUCCUUUCGUUUUGGGGAGGAUAGGGUGGAGAAGCUUGCUAUUUGGUGGAUUGGAAGAGUUUGCUAAUACUACUCUUCUGUCAGUAAAUUUAUCUGUUCUGUUGCUUGCUUUUGAACGAAAUUAGCAAACAAAUACUAUGUACAUAAGUUUAGGAUGGUGAUUCUUUCUGAUAAACCUACAUUUCCUCCAGGACAGCACACCACUCCAUGUCAGCAAUCCAUGCAGUUCGAACUACCUGAGCCAUGUCCUGCUAAGCCGUGUGCUGCUGACUUGAAAUGAUUAUUCUAAAUGGAAGCCAUGAAACCUUGUCGAAGAUGCUGAUGAAGAUGGACAGAAGAAUAUUGUAUAAAGCUGAUGAAGAUGGACAGAAGAAUAUUGUAAUAAACUCACACAGCUAGACAAACACUUUCUGGUAGUUGUUUAUUGCAUGCGUGUAUGUAAAUCUUGUAUAAAGAACAUGCUGCUGUUGAAGAGCAGUGAGGAUUGAAUUCAAUUGAGUUGAGUUUAUGAAAUCAGUCUCUAUAAACAUAGUUUAAACCAUAUCAUGGUAUCAAAGAGCUGAAAGUCUCACGACACAACCAUUUUUUUUUCCCAUGGCUUCUCAAUCUACUUCUCUGUCCAUCCCAAAUGCCUCAUAUCUUCUCACCAUCAAACUUGAUCGUACCAACUACCCCGUUUGGCAAGCUCAAAUGCUUCCACUUCUUCGUAGCCGAAACCUUGUUUCCUUUAUCGAUGGAACCAGUCCAUGUCCUUCUGUAUUCUUGAAAGAUGCGGAUGGUAACCUCACUGACGCAGUCAAUCCUGCGUUUGACAUCUGGGUUCAACAAGAUGCCACAGUCCUGUCGUGAAUUAACUCCUCCGUUCACCCCACUAUUCUUGUUGCCUUAAUUGGGAAAACUAGCUCCCAUUCUGCCUGGACGACCUUACGUGACCGCUAUGCUUCGCAGUCCACCGGUCGUCUCCUUCAGCUUCGAAGUGAGCUGAUGAAUACUCAUCGAGGUGACUCUUCUAUUUCUGACUUCUUGGAUAAGAUUAAUUGUCUUGCCGAUACUCUCUCUCUCUGGUGCUCCCGUUUCAGAUUCGGACAUCAUUGCCAUCAUUCUUAAUAAUGUUGGUCCUGCUUAUGAAAGCACGGUUGCCUCAGCCCAAGCCCGUGACGAGGCGAUUACCUACAGUGCUUUGGAAGCACUCCUUCUUGGUGCUGAACGCCGCCAGAAAAUGCAUUCUGCUUUCACUGCAGAUACCGGCCCUACUGCAUUUGCAGCCACCCGUAAUGGUGGUCGUCCAUCUCCUCCCUUUAGAGGCCGUGGCUCCUCCUCCGGGUUUCGAGGUCGUGGCAAUGGCGGUCGUAGCUCAUUUUCCCGUCACGGAUCAUCCCAUGGCUCUCCAUCUCGCCAACCUGAUGGCCUUCUUGGUUCUGCUCCCUCUCAGACCUCAUUUCCUAAUGGCAGACUUCAAUGCCAAAUUUGUACUCGCUAUGGCCAUUCCGCAAUUGACUGCUACAACCGUCUUAACAUGUCCUAUGAAGGGCGCGUUCCAGCACCAAAGCUUCAGGCUUAUGCUGCCAGUGCUCCCACCAUCCAGAAUUGGCUUUUCGAUUCUGGAGCCAAUGCCCACAUAACCAAUGAUCCUGCUCAGGUGACGAAUGCUCGACCAUAUCAUGGUACUGAUCAAGUGAAUGGUGUCGUUGGAGGAACAGGUUUGAAAAUCUCUCAUGUUGGUAACACUUGCAUUCGUACACCCCAAGCCCUUUUUCAUCUCCCAAACACAUUACUUUGCCCUAAUGCAUCCACUAAUAUCAUUUCCAUUCAUCGCUUCACCACUGAUAAUAAUUGUUCUCUAACUUUAUUCCCACACGCCUAUCGUGUUCAGGACCUUCACACGAGGAAGAUGCUUUUCCACGGCCGGAGUAACAAUGGGUUCUACCCCUUCUCAACAGUUUCAUCAUGCACUAAAGGAGUCUCUGUAUUCAUAGGUGCUAGGGUGUCCAAUUCCAUUUGGCACUCUAGAUUAGGUCAUCCAUCUUCUCAUGUUUUGAAAAGUUUAAUUUCUAGCAAUAAGUUGCCUAUCAAUGGCGUUGUAACAAGAGCAUUUUGUCAGUCCUGCCCUCUGGGCAAAAGUCACAAGUUACCUUUUAGUUUAUCUACUUCAAAAUCGUCCUUUGCAAUUGGUCCAUUCAGAUGUAUGGACUUCUCCUACUGUUUCAAUUAAUGGAUUUAAAUACUAUGUGGUUUUUAUCGAUGAUUUCUCUCGAUAUUCUUGGUUGUAUCCAUUAAAAUUCAAAUAUGAUGUCUUUUCUACAUUUGUUGCUUUCAAGAAAUUAGUUGAAAAUAUGUUUAAUACCACCAUUAAAUUUUUUCAAACUGACGGGGGAGGUGAGUAUCUUAGUCACAAUUUCAAAGCUUUCUUGACUCAUCAUGGUAUUCAUCAUCGCUUAUCUUGCCCACAUCAUCCCGAACAAAAUGGAAUUUCAGAGCGUAAACAUCGCCAUCUUGUUGAAACUGGCCUCACUCUUCUUGCCCAUUCCUCAUUGCCCACAUCAUUUUGGGAUGAUGCCUUUCAUACCGCCAAUUAUUUGAUAAAUCGUUUACCCACUAAGGUUUUACAUAAUGACUCUCCCUUUCAAAAACUCUUUCACAAAUCUCCUCAAUAUGAUUUCCUAAAGGUUUUUGGGUGUGCAUGUUUUCCAUAUUUUCGACCAUAUAAUAGUAAUAAACUUCAGUUUCGUUCCAAACGUUGUGUUUUUCUUGGCUACUAUUUAAAUCACCAAGGUUAUAGAUGUCUUGACAUGUCUACAGGAAAUUUUUUUGUGUCUCGUCAUGUUGUAUUUGAUGAAACUUGUUUCCCAUAUAAAGAAUCCAUUACUCCCGUGUCUCCAUCACCAACCAUUUCCACCGACACUAUGACACUAGACAUAGGUCCAUCCCUCCCAUACCGCCCACAGUCACCUCCCAUCCCUCCUAACCCUACUCCACCACCUUUACCCUCAACCGUCACUCCCACGCCUACCCCUCCCUUAAUAUUACCUAUCCCUACUCCUCCUAUAUCCACUCCUCUAGGACCCACGAAUGCAAGUCACAUUCCUUCUACAUCCUCUUCUUCUCAGAGGAUCCUUCCACCUACUCAUUCUAUGACCACACAUGCCAAGGAUGGGAUUCACAAACCUAAUCCCAAAUAUGCAUUUACUUCUACUGUCACUAAUCCUGUGCUUGAGCCUACUUGUUUUACCCAGGCUAACAAAUCUCCAGAAUGGCGCCAGGCCAUGGCAGAAGAGUUUAAUGCCCUCCUACGCACUGGAACAUGGUCAUUGGUUCCCUUUGUUCCCUCCAUGAAUGUGCUUCCCAAUAAAUGGGUAUAUCGGAUCAAACGACAUUCUGAUGGUUCAAUACAGCGGUAUAAGGCUCGAUUAGUCGCCAAUGGCUACCACCAACAAGAUGGUAUUGAUUAUGACGAGACGUUCAGUCCAGUAGUUACUCAUGCAACCAUUCGCCUCGUCCUCUCAGUUGCUCUUCACUUCAACUGGCCUAUCAGACAACUUGAUGUUCAGAAUGCUUUCUUACAUGGUUCUUUAGCAUAGGUUGUUUAUAUGCGGCAGCCUGUAGGAUUUGUGGACUCUCAGUUUCCAAAUCAUGUAUGUCGCUUGCACAAAUCACUAUAUGGUUUCAAACAGGCACCCUGUGCCUGGUUUCAAUGUUUCUCCUACCAUCUUGAAGAUCUAGGGUUUCAAGCAUCCCUCGCAGAUUCGUCGUUGUUCACAUAUUUUCAUGGGUCCACUGUCAUUUACUUAUUGAUCUACGUUGAUGACAUCCUUGUUACAGGUAAUAACCCUUCUCAUAUCUUUCAGCUUAUUCAACGACUUGGUCACAAGUUCUCCAUGAAGGACUUAGGUCAUUUGCAUUAUUUUCUGGGCAUGGAAAUUCAGCGGACACCCACUGCCAUGUAUCUUACUCAAUCCAAGUACAUCCUGGACCUUCUCAAAAAGACAAAUAUGUGUGAUGCAAAACCUUUCACCACUCCCGCUACCACUGGACGCAAGUUAAGUCUCUAUGAAGGUGAACCUUUAUCUGAUGGCACACUGUUUCGGAGUAUCGUUGGCGCUCUCCAAUACCUUCUCUUCACGAGACCGGAUAUUGCUUUCGCCGUCAAUCAGGUCUGUCAAUAUAUGCAUUCUCCCACCACUACUCACUGGGCUGCUGUAAAACGCAUACUUCGAUACUUGAAAGCCACUCCUGAUCACGGCAUUGUUUAUAAACCUAGUUCUCUCACCCUCACUGCCUUUGCUGAUGCCGAUUAUGUCGGGGAUCCUGACGAUCAGCGCUCAACUGGGGGCUAUUGCAUUUUUCUGGGUGAUAAUCUCGUCUCUUGGAGCUCCAAGAAACAGCGCGGGGUGUCUCGAUCCAGCACUGAGGCCGAGUACAAACAGCUGGCUUAUACGGCAGCCACUUUAUCUUGGUUCCGCCAUAUCUUUCGUGACCUGCACCUUUCUCUUUCUCCACCACGGUUGUGGUGCGACAAUAUCAGUGCCCUUGCUGUUGCCUCUAAUCCUGUAUAUCAGGCGCGAAUGCGACACGUUGAAGUUGACUACCACUACGUUCGCGAAAAGGUCGUCCGCAAAGAACUACAAGUUGGCUAUGUUGCCACUGUUGAUCAAAUUGCAGACUUUCUCACCAAAGGUCUGUCCUCUCCUCGUUUCCGCUAUCUACUCUCCAAGCUUCCCGUGCGUCCACGCCCGCUUCGCUUGCUGGGGCGUGAUAAACCUACAUUUCAUCCAGGACAGCACACCACUCCAUGUCAGCAAUCCAUGCAGUUCGAACUACCUGAGCCAUGUGCUGCUAAGCCAUGUGCUGCUGACUUGAAAUGAUUAUUCUAAAUGGAAGCCAUGAAACCUUGUCGAAGAUGCUGAUGAAGAUGGACAGAAGAAUAUUGUAUAAAGCUGAUGAAGAUGGACAGAAGAAUAUUGUAAUAAACUCACACAGCUAGACAAACACUUUCUGGUAGUUGUUUAUUGCAUGCGUGGCUUUUAUUAUUGCAUGCGUGUAUGUAAAUCUUGUAUAAAGAACAUGCUGCUGUUGAAGAGCAGUGAGGAUUGAAUUCAAUUGAGUUGAGUUUAUGAAAUCAGUCUCUAUAAACAUAGUUUAAAUUCUAUCACUUUCAAUGUGUCCUGAAGUUCUUUUAUAUGAAAUUUGACUUAUUUGUUGGAGUUUGGCUUUCUAUAGUAUGCUUCUAUCAUACUUGGACUGCAUACUGCUGCUAUAUUGUUGUGAAAGAUUCCCUGUAGUUGCAGCUGCAUUGCUUCCAUAUAUACGUUGGUUCUACUAAAUUUCUAACAACUGCUUGUGAAUUCCUGAUAAAAUGGUUAUUGAAACUCAUUUAUUUGAGUUGGUACCGCGAACUGUUUCCUUCAGCUAUACCAAAUGAAUAGCAGUUCGAUUGUUUGGUAUUAUCUAAUGCUGAAUUCUUUAUUGAUGGCGGAGUAAAUUCGAGUUUCAGCUGAGACUUCAAGAGCUUAUAAAGUUGGUACGAGCUGAAAAUAACUGGCAAGCGAUCACAAUGGGGAACUACUCAUAUGAAAGAAUUACAGCGGGUCCUUGUAACAGUAGCUUAGAAGAGUACUACAGACUGUGCUACAUACACGGUGAUCCAUUUUUGCUUUGAUUGGGAAAAUUCUUUUGCGGAGUACUUUGAUUCUUUGGCAUCGUUUUUGUUGGAAUGGACAUACAGAUAUUUUAGAGAAGUAAAAAGUUAAAAGAAAAAGAUUUAGAGACUAUGGUCUCUGUUUUCCUCAACUCCUGUGGGAAUGAGCUGAAUAGGACAAUGUCUUAAAUGGUACCUACGUUUAGUUGAACUUAUAACUAUGUAGGAAAAUUGUUUUGUUGAGCACGAACUAGCACAGAUUUGCCUGCAUCAUCUUUUUGUGGUGGUAGUUUCUCACAGAUUGAUUUUUGUCUCUGUUAGUCAUGCAGCCUUCAACAUUCCAUUAAGAAAUCCGUAAAUGUUAUUAUGUUUUGAAUCUAUUGAUUGAUAUACAGGACUAGCUUUUCAAGAAUAGACUCAUUACUAGCAAAAGUUGCCCGCGCAAUGCUGCGGGUUUUAAAACCGUACAAAACAUGUUGAAAGUUCUAAAUAUAUACGAUAGACAAUAUUAUUUAGGAGUAAUUAGGUUUUCAUCCUUAUUUUUACUACUCUAUUGAUUAAAACCUUAUUACUUUUCAAUUUUUGAUCAAGGUCCUUUGUAUUAAUAAUAUCAUUAAUUAUUUCAAUAAUAAAAUAUUAAUUAUUUCUAAAUAUAUUCAUUUAAUAUUAAAAAUGUUACAAUUAGUAUAUUUAUAUUUAUGGCUAAAUUUUUUAUCAUAUAUUUUUAUUUUUAGUUUGUACCCAUUUUUAAUUUGCAACCCUUUUUUAAUUUGUACCAAUUUUCCUUUCAAUUUUAAUUUGUACCCAUAUAUUUAAUUUCUUUUGUGCCCAUAUUUUUUUAAAGUUUUAUUUGUAUUGUACCCCAUAUUUUUUUUUUUUAUUUAUUUGUACCCAUUUUUUAUUUUUGCUAAAUGUACCCAUUUUGAAGAAUGUACCCAUGUUUUGAUACAAUAAUUUUUUGGUUAUUUUUUAUGAAUGUACCCAUGUUUACACACACACACACACAAUAGUAUAUUUAUAUUUUAAUAUUUUUAAUCCCACAAAUUAUGGUUUUUUAUUUAAAAUCUCAUUACUAUAAACAACUAUAAAUUUUAAUUUUUAAUUUAAAAAAUAUAGUAACGUACAUAGAAAUAAAUUAUCAAUUAAUUUUAGGGACUUGGAUCAAAAAUUGAAAAACAACAAGGUUUCAGUCAAAGAUUGUGCAUAAAUAGGGACCGCAUCUAAAGUCUCCCUAUUAUUUACAUACAUGUGGAAAUAUAUUUACAACCCUAUUUACAAUAAGAAAAAAAUAGGUGUCCAAAAGUGGGGGUUCGUAACAUUUUGCAAGUUUAAAGCACUGUUGAACUGCUUAUUUUUCCAAAAGGGUAAAUCGUCAAAAUGGUCCCUGAGAUUUGCAUAACUCAUCACUUUGGUCCCUGAGAUUCCAAAACGAUAAAAGUGGUCCCUGAGAUUUUCCACCAUCCAUCAUUUUGGUCCUUCCGUUAAAAACUCCGUUUUUUAAAUUUCAGGUAGACAGGCCAUGGGCCCACUCCAACAACACCGAUAUUAUCCGCACUUGGCCACCUGCUCAAUCCGUCAGGUGUGGGGUUUUAAUACAAAAGGCCUCGGUGUUAGUUAUAGUGGGGUAAUUCUAUGUAAAUGGCUUGUUCUCAAGCCUUCUGGCCGAUGUGGGACAAAUGAAUUCUAACACCGUUAAGUGUCCCCGAGGAAGUUUGGGCAAUUUCAAAGCUUCGUAACCCAAUCGUUUCUUAACCAAAUUAGACCCAUAAUAUAUCAAAAUGAAGAUAGGAAGGUGUAGAAUAAGAUUAUACCUAUUUCAAAGCCCAAUGAUUGCUGAAGAUGGCUGGAAAAUAGCCUCAAAGUUGACUGGUCCGAGUAAAAACUUGAAAACUCGCCGGAAACUGAGUAAACUUUAAACGUUCAUAACUUCAAUACUCAACGAAAUCAAAUGAUUCAAAAACGAAAAUCAUACUUCUCGACGAGAUGAAGAGAAUGCUACCUUUUUUUUUAUGGCUAACUCGCCAUGGUUUGGCCGGAAAAUGGCUUGAAAGUAGACAAUCUCUGGCAAUCACUGGGCUUUGAAAUAAGUAUAAUCUAAUUUUUCACUUUCCUAUCUUCAUUUUGAUAUAUUAUGGGUCUAAUUUGGUUAAGAAACGAUUGAGUUGUGAAGUUUUGAAAUUUGCCCAAACUUCCUCCGGGACACUUAACGGAGUUUUUAACGGAAUGACCAAAAUGAUGGAUGGUGGAAAAUCUCAGGGACCACUUUUAUCAUUUUGGAAUCUCAGGGACCAAAGUAACGAGUUAUAAAAAUCUCAGAGACCAUUUUGGCGAUUUACCCUUUCCAAAAUAUUCUAGGUACGUAUAUACUAAUUAGCAGUAACUUUCUUCUUUACAAAUCGACACUUGAGAACUUUCUUCUUUUGUUUUCAUUUCGCUGUUACAAAUCGGAAAAAUGAAACUUGUAAAUGUAAAUAAAUGGCAGUUUUACUGUUUUACUGAAAAUGAAAGAACGAAAUAUAAGAACUUGAUACGUUGACACGGUUUCUUCAAACACACUAGUACAAUCACAUAAAAAAUGCAAUGUUUAUGGUGAAAAGCCCAAGUUCCCGCCAGUUUGUCCUCCAUACUCUACCCUAAUCUUCUAAGGUUUUUAGUUAAACAACUUGCUCCUGUAACAACUAUAUUAAAGCAUAAAUAUUCAUGAAAAAUCAUCAUCAAUAGCAAAAAGGCACAAAGUAUUUUACAGAAUUCUAAAGAUCCCUUAAGUGCCUCAAACCCAGGUCUGUCCUCUCUUUGCCUUCCUCCUUCAUUACUUUGAUUUCUUUUUUUAUGCUGGAAUUUUUAUUUAUGGAAAUUUAAGGCUUUGAAAUAUAGUACUGAUUUCAGAGCCUUUGGCAAUUUACUUGUAAAUUGUUAGACUGUUGUACAGAGAUUCACACAUGAAAAUGCUUUAAAACGUAGAAGCUUACCUAAAGCAUAUGCGUGCAUGAAAUCCUUAAAGGUGAUACUUUUGGACAUUUCAGGGAAGUUCUUGAGAGCCUGAAAAUAUGUCGUAACAAUAAUCAGAAUCUACACGUUAAUAAUAAAGAAGUGAUUAACAAUCUUCUCAUAUCUCAAGUAAGUACUUUCAAAAGUUAUUAAGUUAACGGGAUGCCCCACUAUUCCAAAUUCUGAAAUUUGUGCCACAUUAUUAAUCUAGUCUUAUUUGACUGGUUACUCUGGUUGAUUAAUUUUGCCAGAACAUUCAAGAUAAUGGGACAUCGAAUUACAUGCCAUCAACCGUUUAAACCCCGAAUAGAGAUGAUGAUAUUAAAUUUAAAACAUAUACACGGCUUAGGUUCAAGCAUUAAUGUCCCAAAACCAUUAACCAAAUAAUAAAACAAUCAAGUACUUACUGUCCUAAUUGCCAAAAAUUCCUUUUUGAUUUGAGAUCUUUGAUUAAUUGUUUCCUGAUAUACAGAGCUUUGGCAGAUCAGCUCCAACUCAUCGUCACUCCAAAAACAGUGAAUUUCUUGCCAUUCAAGAAAUUUGUACAAACAAACAAAUCAAGUACAUGUAAGGACCACUGAUCAGUUAAAUUCUUGUUUCAUUCGUGUUCAAUCCACGCUGUCCAAGUUGACCGUCUAACAACAUGACCUACCAAAUAAUCUCUAGGAAUGCAAAUGAUAACUUAAUAUCAUAACACUCACAGUGCAUUGCAUCUCCUGCGGGCGAGGAAGCCGGCGAAUGUAAGGGGCACACCUGAAUCCUGCAUAAACAAAAACCUCAAACCCCACAGAAAAAAUCUUUCCACAACAUAGUAAAUUAAACUAGCACAGCAAUCUACAUUGCCCAUUCUCUGCUCAAACAAAACGACAGUGGCAAGCUUUGCAGCAUCGCCAACUCCAUCACUCAACAAAUCUUUCGGUUAUGGAACAAGAUUAUCCGGAGCUAGUUGCUGCAAUUAUAAACCAAAUCAAAGCCUCUUAAAUCAUAAAUUAACAAUUUAAACUGUGAUUGAAGUCUUAAAUAAUUUGGGAUUAAGAUUUACCACGCUGCACGGAACCUUCAAAACGCAGUCUCCAGUAGUUGUGCUCUGUGAAGCAAACAGAGACGUUCCGUACGCCGAUUUCCCAAUUGAAAGCGCCGACGAAAUCUCGGCGCCGGCCUUCCGCUCCAGCCACGGCAAGAAUGUUGGUAACUCUAAGUUGAACUCUCACACUAGAACACGUAACCAAUGUUUGCUUGAACACUCAAAGACUCGGGAGAAUAUACUUGUUAUUCAAUCAUGUAAACAUGGCUUUUAAAUAGCCUUACACAGAUAACUGAAAGCUGAAAAUAUGCAGCCCACGUUUUAACAACCCUACAACGUGGUAUGAGACUAAUUCAAAGUAAAUAACUUAUCCCUACAAACUAGGGUUUAUUAUCAUCAACUAAAACAAACACCUAAUAAACUGGAACCUGGAAGACCUAACCCUAACGGCUAGGACUCAUGAAAACGUCAACAUCCUCCCUUAAGCUGAAUGCUAUCAGCAAUCAGUUUAUAUGCAUGAGUGAAUGAACACCCAACAAUCCCCGUAAUUUCUGAAAAGCGUCCAGCUUUAGAGGCUUGGUCAUGAUAUCUGCCACCUGCUCCUGCGAGGAACAUUGAACCAACUCAACAAUCUCAUCCUUGGUAAGCUCGCGAAGAAAAUGAAAUCGAACAUCUAUGUGCUUGCUACGCCCAUGCAUCACUGGAUUCUUUGAAAGCUUAAUGGUAGAACUGUUGUCACAGUAAAUGGUUGUACACUUAUGCGAUUCAUAGUUGAGCUGCUGCAAGAUCCUUUUUAACCAAACUGCCUGACAUGCACAUGAAGCUGCAGCUAUGAACUCAGCUUCGGUGGUUGAUAAUGUGACCACCGGUUGUUUCUUUGAGGACCAAGAAACUGCUCCUGCACUUAACAUAAAAACAUACCCAGAAGUACUUUUCCUAUCAUCCUGAUCUCCAGCAUAAUCACUGUCAGUGUACCCGUAGAGUUCUUCUUCUCCUCCCUUCUUGUAGACCAGCCCAAAAUUCACCGUGCCCUUCAAGUACCUCAAUACUCUCUUUGCUGCUUUGAGAUGCAGCUCAGUAGGUCGUUCCAUGAACCUACUUAUUAGACUAAUCACAUACAUCAAGUCUGGUCGUGUUGCUGUUAAGUACAUCAAGCUGCCCACGAUUCGUUUGUACAUAGUGAUAUCCAUUUCUAUCCCAUCUUCAUCCUUCGUCAAUUUAAAACCAGGAACAAUGGGAUUAUGAACUGCAUUGCAUUGGUCCAUAUUGAACCGCUCCAAUAACUCCUGAGCGUACUUUCGUUGGGUAACAUAGAUACCUUCAGAUUUUUUAAUCACUUCCAAACCAAGGAAAUAACUCAUUUUCCCAAGAUCAGUCAUGUCAAACUCAGUCAUCAUUGAAAGCUUGAAAUCUUUGAACAUUGACUCAUCAUUCCCAGUAAAUAUAAGAUCAUCAACAUAAAGGCAGACAAUUAACAUUUUACCUCCAUUCACUUUCUUGACGAACAAGGUGUGUUCAUGUGGGCACUUAUUGAAACCUUCCUUCAUGAAGUAAGACUCGAUGCGGCUAUACCAGGCUCGGGGAGCCUGUUUGAGACCGUAUAGUGCCUUUUUCAGCUUAUAGACUUUAUGCUCCUGCCCCUUUUGUUCAUAACCUGGAGGUUGUGCGAUGAACACUUGUUCAUUUAUUUCUCCAUGGAGGAAAGCCGACUUGACAUCCAACUGGUAGACAGUCCAGUUAUUUGUGCUGCAAGUGAUAAAACAACUCGGACUGUAUCCAUCCGUGCCACAGGUGCAAAUACCUCUGCAUAAUCUACUCCAUAUCUCUGGCUGUACCCUUUUGCAACCAGGCGAGCCUUGUAUUUAUCCACUUCACCUUUCUCGUUGAACUUGGUUUUGUAAAUCCAUUUUACCCCAACUAUCUUCCCUUCUGGUGGCAUCUCUGUGAGUUCCCAUGUAUUAUUUUUCUCUAUUGCUUGUAUCUCUGAAUCCAUGGCCUUCUUCCAUUUGUCGCUUUGUAUAGCCUCCUCAUAAGUGAUAGGAUCGGACUCAGCAAAUAAUGCUAAGUGACCCAUAUCUUCUUCCUCUGAAAGACCCUCGCCACUCACAUAGUCUUCCAUCCACACUGGUUGUCUUCUAACUCGUCCUUCAACCGCAGUCAUCUCAGUCUGAUCAUUUUGAUCUGAGUCCAGGCUCUCCUGUGUUUGUUCAUCGGUCGCAUCAUCCCUCAGAUCUCCUUCUUCAUUCACGUCCCACUCAAGAUCAGCCAUGAUCGUCUCUUGGGAGUUAUCAUUCCAGUCCCAAGCCUUGUCCUCUUCAAAAACAACAUCCCGGCUUAUCACAAUUUUCUUAGACACUGGAUUGUACAGGCGAUAGGCCUUGGACUCCUCGCUGACUCCAAGUAGAAUACACUUCAUGCUUUUGUCAUCAAGCUUGAUCCUCUUGCUAUCAGGAACAUGCACGUGUCCUAUGCAUCCAAAAACCCUGAAGUGCUCCACGGAUGGUAUAGAGCCACUCCAGGCUUCUUCUGGCGUCAUGCUCUUUACUGCUAGGGUUGGACUUCGGUUAAGUACAUAAAUGGCCCAAUUUACUGCUUCUGGCCAGAAAGUUCUUGGGAUUUUCUUUCCUGUAAGCAUGCUUCGAACCAUGUUCAUGAUGGUUCGGUUCUUCCUCUCCGCGACUCCAUUCUGUUGGGGGGGUGUAAGCAGCUGUAAGUUGUCGGACAAUUCCAUGCAUGUUGCAAAAGUUUGUGAAUUCAAAUGAAAUGAAUUCACCUCCACGGUCUGUUCGCAGAGUUCUUAUGCUCGAACUCGUCUCCUUCUCAACCCGUGCCUUGAAGUUUUUGAACAUACUAAAGGCUUCUGAUUUCUCAAUCAAAAAGAACACCCAUGUUUUCCUGCUAUAAUCAUCAAUGAAAGUAAGAAGGUACCUCUUUUUACUGUUAGAUACUGGAUUUAUAGGCCCACAUAUAUCUGCAUGCACAAGUUGAAGAAUUUUAGAUGCUCUCCAUGUGCUGUCCUUUGGAAAGGAAUCUCGUUGUUGCUUCCCCACCAAACAUUCUUCACAUACCUGUGUGUGUGCGUUGAAUGUUGGUAAGCCCUUCACCAUAUUCUUUUGUUGAAGGACUCUCAGACCACUCCAACCCAAGUGUCCAUAUCGACAGUGCCAUAAUUUGAAUUGAUCAUCUGCACUCACAUUGAAACAUUGCUCCUCCUGCAGUUGUGUACGUGUCCGCAAAAUGAACAUGCGAUUUUCUGCCAUUUUGGUCUCCCAAAUUAGUCCUCUUGUUGGAUGAUAGAUCCUACACUUGCCACUUUUAAUGGAAAUAGCAAGGCCCUUCUCUUGCAGUUGACCAACGCUCAAUAGAUUAUUUUUUAAGUCCGGCACGUAGAACACUUCAGUGACAACUUGCAUGGCUCCAUUAACCUCCAUUCGAACAUUUCCCUUCCCUAGCACAUCCAACCGUGAGUUGUUUCCAAGUUUGACAGACUUCCUGAAGGUGUCGUCCAAAUCGAUGAACAUCUCCUUCUUUCCACACAUGUGAUUGCUGCAUCCCGAGUCCAAGAACCACAAUUCUUCCCUGUCGUUCCCCUUGAUAUCCACAUAUGCCAUCAAUAGCAUUUCUUCACUGGUUUCUGCAUAAAAACCUUUAGCAUCCUUCCCCUUCUUAGGACAUUCCCACUGAAAGUGUCCAAGUUCAUGACAAUGGUAACACUCGAGGGUGGAUUUGUCCGAGCCAUUUCGACCCCUUCCUCGCCCUCUUCCUCUGAAGCUGCUGCGUCCGUCUCGCCCACCUUGUUGCGUAUCAUAGGUCACUUUGAGAGCUUGCUCCUCUGCGGUGUGUGUCUUCCCAUCCUUUGCUCGUGCACAAGCAAAACUGCUUUGUAAUUCAUCGAUGGAUAAGAUGUCGAUAUCAUUUGACUCUUCAAUGGAACACACCACAUAGUCAAAUUUAGAGACCAUUGAUCGUAGAAUCUUUUCAAUGACCACUACAUCUUCCAUCUUUUCCCCAUGACUUCGCAUCUUGUUGGCUAUGGUGAGAGUACGUGCAAAAUACUCAUUCACCGAUUCCCCUGCCUUCAUAUGCAACAUCUCAAACUCUUUGCGAAGAGCCUGUAACUGGGCACGUUUUGACUCUUGCCGUGCCCUUGUACUUCUGUUUCAGUGAGUCCCAUAUGUCUUUCGCAGUGUCCUUCUUCAAUAUGGUCUCCAGUAUUGAACGAUCAAGGGCCUGGAACAAAUAAUUUUUGGCCUUCAGGUCCGUUAAUUUCAAAUCUUUAAUAGUUUUCUUCUGGACAUCUGUGAUACUGCUGUCAUCUGCUGCUGCAGGAACACCAGUCUCUACCAAACCCCAAUAUUCCUUGGAACGCAGGAAGUUCUCCAUGAGCAUGCUCCAAUGAUCAUAGUGUCCGUCAAGCCGUGGGAUUGCAGGUUGCACAAAGCUACUUUCAGUCGUCAUGAUGCUGUUGUGAACGAUGAAACUAACUGCGAUCAGGCCCCGUGGUGGGGCUCUGAUACCAAAUGUUGGUAACUCUAAGUUGAACUCUCACACUAGAACACGUAACCAAUGUUUGCUUGAACACUCAAAGACUCGGGAGAAUAUACUUGUUAUUCAAUCAUGUAAACAUGGCUUUUAAAUAGCCUUACACAGAUAACUGAAAGCUGAAAAUAUGCAGCCCACGUUUUAACAACCCUACAACGUGGUAUGAGACUAAUUCAAAGUAAAUAACUUAUCCCUACAAACUAGGGUUUAUUAUCAUCAACUAAAACAAACACCUAAUAAACUGGAACCUGGAAGACCUAACCCUAACGGCUAGGACUCAUGAAAACGUCAACAAAGAAGUCGUUGGAUUCGUCGACCUGGUAGAGAGCGAUGAAUUGUUAGCAGGAAUUUGAAAUGUUUCGGUUUUUUCCGGGAUUGUGAAAUUCUCCGUUUGGCUUUUGGGAUACCUUGGGUUGGGACAAGAAGUGGAAGUUGUGCUUGAUACUUGGAGUGUAGGAGAGGCUGAGAUGUUGACGGCGGAGACGUCAUCGGAUUUUUCGCUCUCUCAGUAGCAUUGCGGUGCGGGAUUGGGACGUCGUCGUUUUGAGGAGAGUGUUGGCUUGGCGCUCAACUCUCGUAUCCACGCGGGGACGGUGUGGAGAAUUUAGUGGUAAAAAAAAAAAAAGUUAUUGUAACUUCAAAAAUCUUAUCUUACUAUUUUUACAAGUGUUUUUUUCUUUUUAAAUAUUAAAAGUUUGGAGAGUAAUUUCAAAAACCCUAGAUGACUUCGUCUAAGAAUUCAAUUGGUUAUAGCUCGUGGGACAUGUUCUUUUUCUCCGAAGACAAUUUGUAGUAAAAAAAAAUCUUACCAAGCCAUCUAGAGUUAUUGGUGUGGUGGAAAUACCAAAUUCACAUCUCUAGUGCAUUCUAUAGAAUUUUUACACAGACAGACAUAAGUGACUAUAUGUACAUUAACAUUGAAUGUGACUGCAAAAUUGGCAAUAUUUGUAUUUUGGUGGUAAAUUCCGAGCACAACGGGGCAAAAAAUUCCCUUGAUUGGAAAUUAUUUCAUGUGUAUUACAAAAUGUGCUACGUACUACAAUUUGUAUUUGUAUUUGUAUAAGAGUACUACAGAAUGUGCUACGUACAACGUGAUCCAUUUUUCCCUUAUUGGGAAAUUCUUUUUUUUUAGUACUUUGAAUAUGUGCCACAGUUUUUGUUGUAAUAGAUAUACAUACUAUGGUCUCUGUUUUCCUCGAAUCUUGUGGGAAUCAGUUGGAUAGGAAAAUGUGCUAAAUGGUACCCAUGUUUAGUUGAACUUAUUAAGAUGUAGGAAAGAUGUUUUCUGAACACGAAUUAGCACAUAUUUGCCUACAUCAUCUCUUUGUUGGCAGUUUCUCACAUAUUAAUGGUCUCUGUUUUCCUCAACUUGGUUUAUUGUUGGGGAUUGAAGCAUGUACUUAUGCAGAAUUACUUUUUAGAAUUUAUUUUCAAGUUGGUGAACUAAUAUUUCAAUUAAUUUACUCUGUACUAGUUUGAGUUGAAAAAACCAAGUCAUUUCAAAUUGCGGUGAGUUGAAUUUAAUUGCAAAUAUCGCACAAAAUUUAUGGGAAUCCAUGUUGACGGGCUGUAAACUCAACUUGCUGGGCGAAGCAGCUCCACAACUCUAAAGACUCAUACAUCUGUCACACUAUUAAACGCCAAAUUCUAGAAAUUAAUUUCAAAUUUCGGAAAGUUUGUCGUCAAUGUGAUGUAUUUUUUGUAAAUGCAGGCGAUGUUUUUGCAAGGAACCGGAACUUUUCCACGCUCGAAAGCUCCACUGGUUGUCAUCGCUCUUCUGCUAUGUUUCUGCUUUGAUUACUGAUCUUUCUGGUUCUCUGUUUCGAAAAUUGAAGCAUACGAGUUUGUUCGAAAAACCCACAUAUUAUAGGCUUGCAUUUUAGGUUUCUUCUCCAAUUUUGUUUAUUCAGAUUUUAGGUUUCUUCUCAAAUAUCUGAUUUUGUUUAAGUUUGUGAGAUUUCUGUGUUUGUUUUGUUUUUCUGCAAUUGUUUUGGUUUUUGGUUUUUGUCUGCUUUAUCCGUAUUGAUCAAUUUGAAGAUCCCCAUUUUGUUUUAAUAUUCUAUACGUUUUUAGUUACCGGGUUAUUUUGGCAAUGAUAUUCGCUUUAGUUUUGUGCCCAGUAUUGGGUUUCCUGAUAACUUUUAGCAACUUUUACGUAUUCACUGUUUUAUUCCUCGGAUUAAAAUCAACUCUUUCGGUACCGUUGCAUCUUAGGAUCUCAAGAUUUCUGGUGUGAGUUCACUCACACACCAUUUUCAAUCUUUUCGAAAAAGAAUGAGCAUUGCAUUGAUACUUUGGCUGUGAAACGGAAUGUAGAAUCAUUAAGGUUUUUUUAGUCAAAAUGAUCUUUGAGAUUUGCAUAACACACCACUUUGAUCCCUUAUAUUGAAAAUCAAUAGAAAUAGUUUCUGAGAUUGUCUACCAUCCAUUAUUUUUGUCCUUCUGUUUUUUGUUAAAUGUCCCGGAGCUCUUAGCCUGAAGUUUGGUCAAUUUUCAAAACUUCGUAACUCAAUCGUUUCUCAACCAAAUUUAACCCAUAAUAUAUAAAAAUGAAGAUAGAAAAAUAUAGAACAAGAUAUACCUAUUUGGAAGCCCAAUGGUUGCCAGAGAUGGCCGGAAAAUAGCCUGAAAUGUGACUGAUCCGCAGAAAAACUGAAAAACUUGUUGGAAACUAGAUAAAAUUUAAACUUUCAUAACUUCUUUAAUACUCAACGAAAUCGAGUGAUUCGAAAACAAAAAUCAUACUUCUCAACGAGACGAAGAGAAUGAUACAUUUCUCAACAACCAAUUCAUCGUGAUUUGGCCGGAAAAUGGCUCGAAAUUGGCCAACUUGAGACCAAGACAGCCGUUUUCAGGCCAAACCAUGACUAGUUAGCCAUCGAGAAAGGUACCAUUAUUUUUGUCUCGUCGAUACGUAUGAUUUUCAUUUUUGAAUCACUCGAUUUCAUUGAGUGAAGAAGUUAUGAACGUUUAAAAUUUACCUAGUUUCUGACGAGUUUUCCAGUUUUCUCACGGACCAGUCAUUUUUAGGCUAUUUCCAACCAUCUUCGGCAACCAUUGGGCUUCCAAAUAGGUAUCAUCUUGUUCUACACACUUUCCUAUCUUCAUUUUGAUAUAUUAUGAGUCGAAUUUGGUUAAGAAAUGAUUAAAUUACGAAGUUUUGAAAAUUACUCAAACUUUCGCCCAAGAGCCCUAGCACACUUAACGAAGUUUUUAACGAAAUGAUCAAAAUAAUAGAUGGUGAACAAUCUCAAAGACCUUUUUUCUAUUGAUUUUCAAUCUUAGGGAUCAAAGUGAUGUAUUAUGUAAAUUUCAAAGACCAUUUUGACUAAAAAACCAAUCAUUAAUGAUUAGACAUUGGGUUUCAAAAUCUUUUAUAAUUUCAGCAUUGGUUCAAAAAAAAAAAAAAAAAAAACCUGUGUAAUUUCAUUUGGGUCUUCUUCCUUUUAAUCUUUCUUCGUUGAGUUUAGUCCUCCAAAAUUUUUGAUAAUUUUUUAAGUUUGAGUUUCUGGGUUUCUCUUAAAUUGGAGCUUUUGUGUUGGGUUUCUCUUCAUGCCAAUUGUCAAAUUGUUCGAACCAGUCUGUUGUAUAAAGGUUAUUGUAUGUAUAUAUUUCCACUGUUCCUCUGUUUGUUGUCUGUAUAACUACAAAUUCAUCAAUUCAUCAAUCGGGUGGUUCUUCUUAUGUAAUUUCAUUAAUUGGGUCUUACAAAACCUUAUUAAUGUCAGACUCUGUAGUUCUUGAGAUUAGAGAGCUAUUUUGCUCUUUAUUUUGUUCCUUAAUGUCAACCUUUCUUAAUGUCAGGUGAUGAGUAUUGAAGGGUUUUGAUAUUUCUACAUGUAUGUAAAUAGAGUUCUAUAUGUUUUAUAAUUUGACAUAAUAUCAAAGGAUGUUUGACUUGGACUACAAUUGCUAAUAGUUUUCACCACAACGUUACGGUUAACAACUUUUUUACCACAGAGGCCAAUCGUCAACAAUCACGCCAUAAUAUUUACAAUAGUUAGCUUAAAUAAAUUGUCGUUCUAGCACUACACUUUCAGUUUUUAAUUUCGUAUUUUAAAUUAAAGAAUGUUGAAUUUCUAGCUCAUUGCGUGUGGGCCUUUAAAGCCUUUAGAGCAACUCCACAUUGGUCAGGCAAUUGGGCAAUUCUUGUCCAAACCUAGAAAAAGUGCUCCAGCCCAAUCCAAUUAGUCGAGCAACUGAGUGGGCCCCAGGCCGCCUGAUUGAUUCAUUAGGCAACUUUAGGUCAUCUUCAAUGGAUCCGACCAGAUGAUCAUAGGGUCGAAAAUAGCCCUAAAUGACACAAGGACUAGGCCAAAGAGUUGUGGGCCCCACUAGGCCAAAACCAGUCAAUCAGGUCAGCAGGCUGGCCAUCUCCAGCCAGCUAACUAGCCUAAUAAGCUAGCCCACAUUUUUUUUAAGGAUUUUUUUGCCCAACCCACUUGUUUUUUUUUUAGCCUAUCCUUUCUUUUUUUUUGGUUGAUUUUUUUUUUAGUUUCUAAUUUUUUUCCUACACCAUUUCAUACUAUCUUAUCUCAUUUUAUUUUAAUUCUUUACAUUCCAUACCAUGACCUUUUGGCUCUCUCGGUUGAAGAUGAUUUUUUGUCACAUGGUUAUGUUUAAACCUAUGGUUCUUUGGCCCUCCGGUUGGAGAUGGUAUAAAAUAUGGCUUGAUAUUGUUUAUUAAAAUAUUAAUUUCUUGAAGGCUAUAGAGCUCCUGGCCCUCUUUCGGUUGGAGAUGGGCUUAGCCCGAGCUCUUACGAGUGGUUUGAUGACAUAUUGAAAUCAGCAUGUAGUCAGCCACGGAAGCCGACGAACGAAACCGCAAAAGAGGAGCGGAGGCUGCAGCAAAGCAAAGGAAAAAGCAGGGAAGCAAAUCCAGCGAUACUAUCUUAGCUGCCAAGAAGUCAAAACGGUUGAAGUAGAAUUCCAGGAGCGGGUGUUGACCGAGACCUCGGAGUCGGAAUCGGAAUCGGGUUUCGUUGAUUUCAAUGGCUGACUAGGUGGAAUUAGCGGAAGAGGAGGAGGAAGAUAGGAGGGGUGGUGGCCAAGAGCUUGGAAGAUUUGGAAGAAGAAGCCGAGCCAGCAGAGAGCUCCCUUAUUGGUGUUUUGGCACUUCACAUUCACCUUUAGCACAUGACUGCUUGGAUUGCAGCCGUUAAUUGCAUUUAGAUAUUUCGUUUUGCCUUGACCUGAUUCAGAUACUGUUAUGAUGAUGAUUGCACCAAGGAGGCAUAUAUUAUAGGCCAAAUUGGAUUAUUCAUCCCCGUGGUCAUAGGAAACUUGCAUGAUGACCCCCGUGGUGAAAAAACUAGGAAUUAAACCCCUGUGGUCAAGAAUAUUAGCAAAUUUAGUCCAAAAGUAAGAUUUCUGUUAAAUGAUUGUUAAAAGUAUGGGUAAAACUGUAUUUUCAGUUCCAAUUGACAUUUAAAAUAAAUAAUUUUUUUAUAACAAUUAACAAAAAAAAUAAUGCUUAAUUUUUUAAAUAAAAAAAAACCCUAAUUCAAUGUCAAUUGGAAUUGAAAAUACAGUUUUACCCCAACUUUUAACAGUCCUUUAACAGAAAUCUUACUUUUGGACUGAAUUUGCUAACAUUCUAGAUCACAGGGGUUUAAUUCCUAGUUUUUUCACCACGGGGGUCAUCAUGCAAGUGUCCUAUGACCACGGAGGUCAUCAUGCAAGUGUCCUAUGACCACGGGGAUGAACAAUCCAAUUUAGCUUAUAUUAUAUAUAUCAUGAAUCUACAUGUUAAAACUAUUCAAGUUUUUUAUUAAUUUGUAAUUCUGGGCUUUGAAACUGUCAAAAUUUCCUCAUUUCUCUAUUUCUGCACAUAAAAUCCUUUCCUACCGAACAUCCGACGCAUUCCCAAGUUGGAAGUUGGUAUUGCUUUCAUAGGGGGAUUGAAGCAUGCAUAUAUGCAAAAUUAUUUUUUCAGAAUUUAUUUUCAAGUUGCUGAACAUAACACAUUCUACACUUGCUAAUAUUUCGGUUUCAGCUGUAAAAACCAAGUCAUUGCAAAUCGUGAUGAGUUAAUUGAUGGGAAUCCAUGUUGACGGGCUCUACUCAACUUGUUGGGCGAAGUAACUCUCCAACUCUAAAGAUUAAACAUCUAUUAUGUAUUUUAACACCAAAUUUUAGAAAUCAAUUUGAAAUUUUGGAAAGUUUGUCAUUAAUAUGAUGUAAUUUUUUAUAAUACAAAUGGUAUUUAAAGUGGGACAUCCUAUGAAUUUAGUGUGGAACUAGUGGAAAUGCAUUUAAAAUCUAAUAAAAUGGGAACAUUUUUGCUCAUUUUAAUGCCAAAUUUUAGAAAUCAAUUUGAAAUUUCAGAAAGUUUGUCGUGAAUAUGAUGUAAUUUUUUAUAAUACUAAUGGUAUUUAAAGGGGGACAUCCUAUAAAAUUAGUGUGGAACUAGUGGAAAUGCAUUUAAAAACUAAUAAAAUUGGAACAUUUUUGCUCAUUCGCAUUAAUUUGGGAGUAUGUUCAUCAUAUUCUUUAAAACAUUUUUAAUAGAAGUCGUUAUUUGGCGACUUUCAUCAUUACUUUUGAGUUUUGAAGACUUAUUUAGAACAUCUUUAAUAGGGGCUUAAAAAAGAAUAUAUUUGUCUUUAAAAGAAAGGGACUUGGAUUGUCUGCCCUCUUAGUUAUGGUGCCCUUCCAUGCCUUCCUAUUUUGUGCGGUCACGAUUAAGCUACGUCAAUAUUUUAUAUUAAUUUUUUAAUAAGAUAAUAAGACAAAAAAUAAUAAAAAUAUAAAAUAUUGACGUGGCUUUACCGUGACCGCACAAAAUAGGAGGGCAUGGAAGGGCACCACAACUAGGAGGGCAGACAAUCCAAGUCCAAAAGAAAGUUAGCUUAAAUUGAGAGAUUCUUCAAUGUGACCGAAAUACGAGGUGGUACACCACUUGUUAUUAUGAUAAAAUGUGUAUUAGAAAAAUUAGUAACUUAAAAGAAUAAAUUUUUCAACAAUUUAUAUAAAAAUAUGUAUUGUAUUACAUGUGUACUGGUAAUAAUAAUAAAAUUUUCACUUUAAUGGGAGUGUACUUAGUAUAAUAUUUAAAUUUAGAGAUUAAAAAAAAAACAAAAAAUUUUGGUUUCCAAGGUGUCCCCGGGCAAAGCCCAAGACUAAUCUUUCGAGGUACGGACCGUACGGUCGGGCACAUAUGCGGGGACCUCUUCCAUUCUGACCAACCUCCAUUGGUAAAACAAACAAAAAAUUAUUCGCAAACCCCAAAAAGCUUUCAUAACCCUUGCAUCAACCGACAAAAUAAAAGUAGCUGCACAGUUUUUCAGAGUCCCAUCACGUGCUGGGACCUAACCCGACUCAAAUUUAGGACUUGGAUUGUCUGCUCUCCCAUUUCAGUACUCUCUUCGUGCUCUUCUGUUUGUGUGGUCACGUUUAAGCCACGUCAACAUUUUAUAUUACUAUUUCUUUUUGUUUUAUUAUUUUUAUAAAAAAAUAAUAUAAAAUGUUGAUAUGACUUAACCGUGACCACACAAAACAGGAGGGCACGAGGAGGGCACCAAAAUGGGAGGACAGACAAUCCAAGUCCUCAAAUUUAACAUGGCCCUCAGCCCAUUUGACAAUCCCUACGCAGAAAAUUAGAAGUAGAAAAGAAUACCAUUAGAUUAUAGCACUAAAUAAUUUUUGUAAUUUUUUUUUUUGUAAAAUGAUAUGUUUUAUAUUAAUCUACACAAUGAACAAUCUAAUUUGAUAUUGAAUUCAUCAUCCUCGAGAUUCAAACAUGAGAUCCCUUACUUAAAAGUAAAGAAAAAUAUCAUCAGAUCUUAAUACUCUGUAGCAAUGGCUCUUACAAUUUUAAAUAUUAACAAUUUAAAUAAACAAAUGAAAAAUUCUUUGAAGUUCCUAAUCCAACAACCCUAGAAAGAGAUCAUAUUCGGAUUCCUUCCAUCAAAUUCACCUAAUUAAUUAAUCCGGAUCGUUGAAAUUUGAUUCAACGAUUAUAAACAAAGGGCCAUUUAAAAGUUAUAAUAACUUUAACCGUUGGAUCAAAUUUUAAGGAUCCAGAUUAGGUGAUUAGAUGGAUUCGGUGAAAAGGAUCCAAAUAGAAUCCCUUUCCCAACAACACCGACAAUGUCUCUGUAUCUGCAAAAGUUGCCAUUAACGAGGAUACCAGGAAAGCCAGAUUGAAGCUUUGGUAGAAGCUCUUAAAAGCAUGAAGACAUAAACUUAAGGGAUGUGAUAAUCGCACACCUUUUUUUUUUACUUCUUUCACACUUAUUAAUUUCUAUCAUUUGAUCAUCUCUAAUUAAUUCGAUUAGACGGUCAAAAAUUAAGAAAGUGUGUAAGAAGUAAAAAAGAGUGUGAGAAUAGCACACCCCAAACUUGGAAUAGGAUCCUCUUUGGAUCUUCUUUGUGAGGAUUUAGAGGAUCAAUCAAUCGUGUUCAUUCAUUGUAGAUCGUGCGGUUAGAAAUCAUUUUAAAUUUUAAAUUAAAAAUUAAAUAUAAAUAAUAUCUAACGUAAACUAGCCGCACGAUUUAUAAUAAACGAAUAUGAUUGAUUAAUUUUUGAAUCCCCACAAAGAUGAUCCGAAGAGGAUCCUUGUCCCCCAAACUUAAACUCAACUUAGUUGUCAAGUGACUCAUGUGAGCUUAUUAACCCUCCCUUCCCUACACUACUGAUGCCAGUCAUCCGCCACUUGCUUAUUGGUUGUCAUUCCGAAUUAUGAUUGCAAACUAUGUUUAUUACCAACCUUUAUUUAAUUGUUGAUUGAAAAUGUUUAUUAGCCACUUGCUAACAUAGACCUUAGUUCACUUGCUGACGUAGGUCUUUGUUCAGCCCCUUAGUUUUAAAGGGAUUCCAAUUUUUUUAUGGAUAAUGAUAGGGAGACUAAAUUUAGAGAUAAAUUUUUAAAAAUUAAAGAACAUGAAAGUUGAUGAUUAGUUUAUUACUUAAACAUUUAUAAAUGUGUUCAUUAUUAUUGAUGACACAUUAUUUCGUUUGCAAAUUUUGUUUCUAAACUUAGUCUCUCUAGCAUUAUCUUUUUUUGAUAGAAAUGGGGACUAGUUAUGUGGCUCACUCCACAUCUUACUUCAACAUUCCCAUCUAUCUAAUUGAUUUUUUGUAAGAAUAGUCUAUGAAUGAAGACUUAAAAAAUAGACAUAGUUCGAAUUGUUAAAAUUCGAAGUAGAGUUAGCCCCACAAAUAGUCCAUUUUUUUUGUAAAUAAAAAAAAAUUGCUUUGGAUAAAGGCUUUGGGUCUUUGUUUAUGAUUAUCAGUCGCUUGGUGACGAGAGAUUUUUUAUUAUGUUCGGAACACAGACACAAAUGUCAUAUGUUAUUAAACAAGUAGAGUGACAACUGAAAUUAUAAAAUACAUAAGAAAAAUGAGUUAUGAAUAAGGGUAGUUGGAUGGAAGGGACAAAGAAGAUUGAAAAUUAAUAUAAAGGGGUUUCAAUUUUUUUUAUAAAAUGGAUACUAGUUGUGUGGCUCACUUCACAUCGAACUUCAAUAUUCAAACCAUUUAUUUUUUAAAUUGCAUUUUAUAGAUCAUUCUUACAAAACAUUAGUCAAAUCAGAAAUAUUUCAGGUAUUUAAUUGAUUUUUUGUAAGGAUGGUCUAUGAAUGAAGAUUUGAAAAAUAAACAUGGUUGAAAUUGUUGAAGUUCGAAGUAGAGUGACCCCCACGAUUAGUCCAAAUUUUUAUAAUAAAAAAGAGAGAAGGAAUCGCUUUGGAUAAAGGCUUUGGGUCUUUGUUUAUGGUUAGUAGUCGCUUGCUGAUGAGAUAUUUUUUAGUGUGUUCAGAAUAUGGGCAGACGCCUAUUAUUAAACAAGUGGAGAGACACUUGAAAUAAAAAAUUUCUCUCUAAUUAUAUAAUGACAAAUGAUAUACCACCUCAUGUUUCAGACACACUAAAAAUAUCUCUUGGUCGUGAUUGGUGAUAGAUCUUUGUUUAUGUCACAUGGUGAGAUAGGUGAUAGUUCUUGUGCUGGCAUAGGUCUUAGUUUAUUAGAAAUCUUAAUUGUUGCUUGAAAAUGUUAACAUGAUUGCAAACUAUCUAAUUUGUUUUAUAUGUAAAAGUCAAACCAUCUUUUGCAAUAACGAAAGCUUAAUUUAGUACAACUUGAUAAAUUGAGAGAGCUUAAAACAAGGGAGAGAGACAUGGAAACAGAGAUAUCUGGCAAGACGGAAAAAGUCUCCAAAAAAAUGGCGAAAUAAGAAACGAUCAAACAAAGUUGAACCCCACACCAUCUUUGUUCAAUGAGGCAUCCAAAUGAUGUAAUGAAGAAACAACUAUACAGGAGAUAAGAAAUGUUAAAGGGAGUGAAAAAUGAACCGUUUAAAUUAUACUUUAAAUUAAAACUUUAUUUCUAUUGGUUCGUACUAAUUCUGACUAUCUAAAUUAAAGAGUGGUUGGAGGAGUGUUGUUAAGGAGAUCCUAAGAAAAUUAUUUAGUUGUUUUAUUUCAAAUUUGAUUAAAAAAUAGGGAGAUGAUUGCAACAUGCUUCAAGCUAUUUUGCUUCUUAUUUUGUUCCUUAACGUCAAACUUUUUUAAUGUCACGUGAUGAGUAUUGAAUUGUCCUGAUAUUUCUACAUGUAUGUAAAUAGAGUUUUACAUGUUUUAUAUGAUUUGAAAACACGUAGCACUGCGAUCACCCUUGCUAGUUUGGCAUAAUAUCAAAGGAUGUUUGACUUGUACUACAAAUUACUAACGGUUUUCAUCACAAGGUUACAGUUAAAUUUUUUUUUAUCACAAGGGCUAAUCAUUAACAAUUACAUCAUAAUUAAUAAAAGUGAGCCUAAAUAAAUAGUCUUCUUAGCACUACACUUUCAGUUUUUUAUUUCGUAUUUUAAAAUAGGAAAACUUUUGAAUUUGAGGCUUAUUCCGAGCAUCACCGCAUUGGUCAGGCAAUUGGGCAAUUCUUGCCCAAAAACAAGAAAAGGUGCUCCGGCUCAAUUCGAUUAGUCAGGGGUGGAAGAGCAAUUGUCAAUCAUUCUGCUUUAUAACGUAGAAAUUAGCCUUAUAGAUAGGAGAGAGCAGAAAUUAGCCGAAAGCCCUAUUUGAGAGCUAACAUUUUCCUUUUUUAAAUAAUGGUAGGGAAACAAAAAAAAAAAAUUUAAAAAUUUACAAAUUAAAUGAUGUCUUAUUAAUAAAAAAUAAGAACGUUAAUUGAUAUUUAAUUAAUAAUUUAAUUAUUUACAACCACAUCAUUUAAUUUGUAAAUUUAGUGGAAAAAAUUUAUUUUCUCUAGUAUUACAUGCACCUUUAGAAAAAGAAAGUGAGAAAUAUAGAGGAAGCACCUUUGGAAAAAGAGAAUGAGAAAUAGAAAAUAUGCAUCUUUAGCAAAAGAUAGUGUAAAAAAGAGUGAGAAAUAGAAAAGAUGCAGCUUUAGUGAUUUUUUGGACAAUUAUUUGUCACGUGUUGUUUUAUUUAAUUUUGAUAUUAUUUUUUUUUAAAUUUAGGAAAAAAUCAAUCAAAGUUAAGUAAAAAGAUACGUGAUAGAUGAUUAGGUGUAUGAUAUGCAUACAUUAUAAUUUAUAAUGAUGAGCAAAAAUAGACCCUCAAAUAUUUGCUAUGCCAAAUACAAAUAGUGUUGUCCUUCUGAGUUACCUAGUUAUUAUUUCACCAAAGGUUUCAAGAAAUAAAACAAAAGAAAUGCACGUUACUUUUUUCAGUUUGAAGAAUAUUAAAUUUGUGGCUCAUUUUGUGUGGAACUUUGCACCGUGAAAGCCACUCAACAUUGUAAUAGUGAUGAUGACUUUGUUUCAAACAAAAAUUGUAUGUAGCCGACACUCUCAAUUGGAAAAGAAAAAAACGCUGUUGGCAUUUAUUCCACUCUGCAAAGUAUUUGCCUUAUAGAAAGAAGAGAGUGUGAGAGAGAAAUAGAGAAGAAAGGGAGAGCUGCUGCUCUUCCGAUGUUUCGGGCAAUCAGUGGCCCGAGCGGAGAAGCAUCAGACAGCGGGAGGCCCACCUCACGUGAAGGAACAGAGCCAAACGGCUCAAUUUCAAUGCAACAUGACACUCAGAUUCCAAAAACUUGCCCACUUGAACAGGAUUUAUUUGAAUUCGCUUCCAUAAAAAGUGGACUACAGCAUCCAUAUAUCCACUCUACUUGAACAUUUCAGUUACAGAAAUUUGAAAUCUCAAAUUUGGUUUCGAAGUGGAUAUGCUACUUUAUCUGCAAAAUUUCAGAGUUUUAGCUCCAAGAUUCAGUUCUAUUUUCUGCCGAAAAAAAGAAAAGUAAGUUUGAGUAAUUUCUUGUUUUUUCUUUUUUCACCAAAAUGUUGUGUCAACUAUUUUAUGAUUUUUUUUUCCGGUGCAACCGGAGUGAUAGAGCACUUAUAAUCAUCGGAUUUGAUGAAUGUUCAACAAAUUUCAAUUACUAGAUCAAAUCCGACGAUUGUAAGUGCUCCAACACUAUGUCUUGAGAAAUUUUGGUUUUUUUAGGACAACUACUAAUUAUAUUAGUUGUGUUUUGUCCAGUAAUUCUGAAAUUCAAAUCCAAAGGACAGAAUGGAAAACUCGCAUAUGGAAGUAAGUUGCAUAUGGACAGCGAAAACUCAAAAACCUCAUGAGUCUCUAGAUCAGAAAUAUUGGAAGAAAAUAUUUAUAUCAUCGUGUUUGUGUGCUAUCAUAUUGGAUCCAUUGUUCCUCUACAUUCCUAUUCUGAAGGAUGAUAUCAAGUGCCUUAUGUUAGAUCCGAAGUUGAAGAUAGUCACUCUUCUUUUGAGAUCACUCACAGAUUUUUUCUAUUUAAUGGACAUCAUUAUUCGAAUUUAUAGAUCUGAGAACUAUUCGGGUUUAAUCGAUGAACUUAACCGCAGACAACACCGGCUGAAUUUUAAUUUUGUGAUGAAAUCUUGUGUGCCAAGAAUAGCCAAGACAAUAUGGGCGUCAUAUGAUAUCUUAAUUGACAUUGUAGCUCUUCUUCCCCUUUCACAGGUAAGAACUUAAAUCCCUUUCUUGGAGUAAUUGUUUUCCCUAUUUGCUUUGCCUGCGGCCAAAACGGAUUUUUUCGUGUUAUAUGCACAAAACUGACACGUAAUGUAAUAUAUGUUUGAGUCUCACGUACACUUUGUUAGAGAGUAUUAAUUUUGUGUUCUAGACAACAUUGUUAUUCAUCCAUCAAAUUUUACUGUUGGCACUAGUAAUGAAUGGUAUCCAGGUGGCAAUCCUCAUUUUCUUCUCAAAAAUGAUUGACUUGAGAUCUUUGACUACAACAAGGAUGGUUCUUAUGAACGUUUUCGCUCUGUUGCAAUAUGUGCCACGAGUUCUUCGCAUCUACCUCUCAUUUAAAGAACUCAAAAAAAGGCCUCUUAAAGAAAAGCUUAGAGAGACUCCGAUAUGGAUUAAAGGUGUACUCAAUUUCUCUAUGUACAUCAUUGCUAGUCAUGUAAGUUUCAAUAUAUUAUCUGUUUUUUUUUUGUCAAAUCAAUUCUUAUUAUCCUGGUCUCACUUUUGUUUAUUAGAAAGAGCGUGAAAUGACUAUUUUGAAGUAACCAUAGCAUCUAAAAUAUUAAUAAUUUCCCCAGGCUAUUUAUUUGUUUGUUUAAUUUUCAGGUAGCCGGAGCCCUGUGGUAUUUUUUUUCUAUUCAACGAAUGAUGAUUUGUUGGCAUUCUGCAUGUCGAAAAAAUGAUGGAUGUGAUAACAGAAUGUUUGGUUGUCAUGAUCACCACUUCUUUAGAAAUACCACAAUUUUAAAUGAUUUAUGCCCUGUCAGUGAUGGUGAUAAUUCAUCAGACACAAUGUUCUUUGAUUUUGGUAUAUUUGCUACUGCGCUUGAAUAUGGUCUUGUGGGAUCAACCAGUUAUUUCAAAAAGUUCUUGAACUGUUUCUGGUGGGGUUUGCGAAAUUUAAGGUUUGUACAUUUUUGUCUUCCUUUGUUGAGAAAUUUAGACUUUUUAAGGUUUCUGAAUUUGUUCACGAUUUAUAUCAAUUCUUUUUGUUGAGGGUAUAAAUCACAUCGAGAACCUAAAGUAUUGCUUCUACGAAAUAGAGUCGAGUAGAAGGCCUCGUAGAGAUUAAAAAUCAAGUUGAGAGACAAAAAUGUUAUCGUGGAUAAAUUGUAGGAAGAAGGCACCAUGGAACCAAAUAAACCCUUGGAAAAAUGGUUGUGAAUUUGUAAGUUUAUAACUUGAAAUUUGAUAUCUUAUAUAAUGAUCCAUUAAUUUCAUUUUUGCAGUUCCUUGGGUUCAAAUCUUGAGCCAAGUGCUGAUGGAUGGGAGAAUCUCUAUACGAUUUUUAUUUCUAUAAGUGGCUUGCUUCUGUUUUUAUAUCUCAUCGGAAAUUUGCAGGUUUGCGUAAAAAACUUUUCGUAUGUCUCAUUAAUUAAGUGCUAUUAAUCACUCCAAUUACGUAAACUUGAUAUGUGAAGAUUUUGAUAUCCAUCAAAUUCACUCUAAUCUAAUAUAUGUUAAGUAUGAGUUUUAUUUUUUUCACUAAAUCUAAAUGCCAUGUAUAAGAAAUUUCUACUUGUAACAGGAACACUUACCACAUAAUAUAUUAUUCUACGUGUUAUCAUAUAAGUAGAUGACAUAGAUGAUAUUCUCGGUUUUAGGAUGUAUUAAUAAAAACCAAAUCUGUGUGUAAUUUGAAUGAGAUGGUAACACCAUGUGACCGUGUUCUGGUUUUAGAUAUCAUACAUAAAAAACUAAAAAAAAAAAAUUUGAACUUGGAUGAUAUAAAGUAGCCAAUGACUAUUUUUUGCAUUGGGCUGAUGAUAUAAAGUAGCCAACAGCUACUUUUUGCAUUGAAAGUUGGGGGAACACCCCCACGUGGGGUUCCUUUUCUUCAGCAGAAAUGUGGGGCCCAUUUUACUUUGUGGCUUAAAAUGUGAUCGGAAUUUGGCCCCCAUUUGGGUUUUAGGUUUUCGGCUUACUUUAGGUCAUGGGUUGGAGUGGGUUUUGGGAGGAAAAAAGGGAAAUUUUAGGUUAUAAUUCAUGGUUGGAGUUGGUCUAAGGCAUGUAUUAUCCUUCAGAUGGGUCUGGUUCAAUCGGAUUAUUAGCAUUUCAACCUAACUCAAAAUAGAUGGUCGAGUUUUUACCCAAAAAUAACUUUUUAACGUUUAGAACCCAACCUAUAUCAGUUGAGUUGGUCAGACAUGCCCACCCCUACUUGUUAUUAAGGUAGUAGUAUUUCAUUCUUUCUUUUUUUUUUGGAUUGAAAUAGUAGUAUUUCUUUUUUGUAAUGUAGAAAAAAAAGAUUAAACUAAAAAUCUAAUAUAUUGAUGACAUUCAACUUCAAAGAAAAAUAGUUGUUAUCCAAUAUGACAAUCUAAUUCUUAUCAAUCUCUUACUUGUUGAAUAGAUGUAUAUGCAAUUUGAAACUACAAGAAGAGAGGAUCGCAAACGCAAGAUGCUAAUCGAACAGAAGGUGGAAGAAAAAGGUCUUGAUAUAGAAUUAUGGUUAUUUAAAAGAGGCGUUCCCACUAGGUUGAAUAAGGAUAUGAAGUUGCAAAUAAUAGAAAAGGUACAACAAGCACUUGAAGACGGUAUGGAAAUUAAUUUGGAUAAAAUUUUCCCUCUUCUUCACUCGGACGUUCAAAGCCGUAUAGAAGAUUAUAUGCCUUUGACAAAGUUGAAGCAAGUAAGUUCUUUAUAUCUGAAUUUACCCUUUAAUUAAUUACUCACUUUGAUAAUCACAUAAAACGAGUAUAGUAUCUCUUUAUCUUUUGGAUAAGGCCUAUUUGUCGAAAUCUCCCCUAAACUUUUAACCUACUGUCAGUUUACCCUUUGAACUUAAAUUUUAACCAAUUACUCCCUUAAGACUUUUAUUUAUGGCCAAAUUCCCAACUUCCGUUAAAUAUCACCCAUUUCAUCCAUGAUUCCGUUAGUUUGGAGGGCAAAAUCGUCAUUUAGAACCCUUUUUGAAUUAGCAUCUGGGACAUGCGACAUGCCAUUGGAGGCUGUGGUUCUGUGCGUGGGCUUGCCAAUGGAGGUUGUGGGGUGAGUGGGUUAUGGCGGGGUGGUACUGGGGCUGAAUUUGAGGGAAGCGGUAGGCGGAUGAAUUUGAUAUGAGAUUAGGGGUGGCUGGUGGUUUGAGAUUUGGGGUGGAUGAGAAGGGUUACAAUUGGGUAGAAGAGGGGAGGUGAGAGAUGUGGUUUUUUAUUUUCAUUUUUAAAUCUUACUUUUAUUGUGAAUCAUGGAUAAAAUGUGAGAAACUUAAACGGCAAGGGGAAUUUGGCAAUAAAUAAAAGUUUAGGGAGAUCAUUGACUGAAAAUAAAGUUGAGGGGUAAAUUGGCACUAGGUUACAAGUUUAGGUUGAGAUCAAAUGAUAAGACCCACUCUCCGGAUUGAUGACAACAGGUCGCAAUCAUAACAGAGGACGAUGAUCACAGUGGGUGGCAGAAAACAGGGAUUGGGGUCAUCGGAGAAGAGAGUGAAUUCAAUGUUCGAUCAGAGUUUGGUUGUGUGUUUAUAGGGACCUGGCUUCUCUGCCCUCCCACUUUCCAUACACUCUCAUCCCUUUCUAUUUAUAUAGUCACGAUUAAGCCACGUCAACAUUUUAUAUUACUAUUGCUUUUUGUCUUAUUAUCUCUAUAAAAAAAUCAAUAUAAAAUAUUAACGUGACUUAAUCGUGACCGCACAAAAUAGGAGGGGAUAUAAGUGUAUGGGAAGUUGGAGGGCAGAGAAGCCGGGUUCUGUUUAGAGACUUGAAAAUGAACACUUGUCUUUAUUGUAUUGGACUAUUAGGAGGUCAGUAAAUUUUGAGUACUGAACAGGCAGUACCAAGUAUUAUCUUCAUCAUUUUAUUAAGAAUUUAGUUAACUGUUGAUGAUUGUACCUUUAUCCUUAAUGAGAAUUUCUUCCUAUGGGUUUUCUUGCUUUCUCUCUGAUAGUUUAACAACAUGAAUUCCAGGUGCCAAUGCUUCGAGGGAUGGAUGAAGGUUUGUUGAAAAUAAUCUAUGAGAAACUCGAGCAUGUGAGAUAUACUGAGAGUGAGAACAGCUUUAUUAUUCAAAAGGAUAAACCACUUGAGAAGAUGGUCUACAUUGUAGACGGAUUUGUAUACAUUAAAGAGGGAUCUUCUUCGAGACGAGGUGCAAGUGCAGGUGCAAGAGAAUUAUGUGGAGAAGAACUUCUACGUUGGCCAUUCUCCACUUUCUUCUUUCUUAGAGAACCGUUGUUGGCAACUGAAUCUGUCAUGGCAACUGGUGUUGUUGAAACCCUUGUUCUCAACGCAUCGGACUUGCGAAGUGUAAGCUCUUAAUCAAAUGCACAUUUCCUUUAAUAAAAUUGAGCAUCGAUAGGAAAAUUAAUUGGGAUAAAAGAGAGAUCCAAGAAUUACCUGUAUUUAAAAUAUCAGACAAGACUUUCAUGUUUUCAACGCAACCCUUCACAUGCGGGGGAACUUAAGCCUAAUGUGUGGAGUAGACAAGACAUAUUGAGUGAUGUAUAGCACUUAUAUAGUCUCAUCUAAAACCAUAUUAAAAUUGAGCCUCCAUCUUAGUUAAAACCAUUGGGAAUAGGAGGGAGAGGGUCCAAAAUUAUUUUAAAUUAUUAGGCAAAAUUUUAUUUCCUCUGACAACUUCAAUAAGCCUAUAAGCUAUAAUAAACUCUAAUUACCUCAAUUUGAUUGUAAUUUGGCUAGAUUUUCUUUUACUUGAACUAACAAACUCUAACCACCUUUUUGUUGUUGUGGAUUAAUAGAUAUACAAUCAAUCAGACAUUUUUGAAAAAGAGGCGCGUAGACACAAAGGAAUGAUGAAAAAGGAGAUUGAGCUAUAUAUAGAUGGAUUGAUACGUAAGAAUGAGAUUGUUAUAAGGUUGAAUCAUGACGUAAAGUCGCGGAUCAUGAAAAAUGUAGAAGAAAAAUUUCAUCAAGAUGAUCUUUAUUGGGAUCAUCUCUUUUCUCAUCUUCCUAGGGAUUUUCAAGAUGAGAUCGAAAGGUACUUGCCAGUGACUAAGUUGGAGAAGGUAAAGUUUCUUCAAAUCCAAGAAUCCAUGGUUUUAAUUUAGAACAUAGAAUUUGAGGCAUUUAUUUAUUUAUAGCUCUCAUCCCAAUAUCCCAUGCGCAUGUGAUAUUAUAGCUCCAGGCAUUUAAAUACAGCAUAACUAACGUAUAUUAUACCAACCCCAACCUAGGGCCUAGGCUACAUACAAUCUAGCCCUUGCCCAUGAUAAGGUGGAGCGUAAGUACAUGAGACAGAAAAAAAACAAACAAAAGAAAAAAUAAGCUGCCAAAUAGAAGAAUUUGCCAGCCAAUAAAGACCAUUCACUUGGAACUUUCUAACCCCUAUCCCUUCACACCAAUAAAUUUUAAAAGGAAAACCAUCCACUUGGAUACAUUUUUAUAUUACUUGAAGCAUGUGAACAUUUGUAGUUAUAAUCAUCCAAAUAACCCAAAAAUGGUAAUUAACUAAAACCAGGGAAAAAAUUUAAAAAUAUGCUAUAAAAAGUGAGUGGUAGAAACAGGAAAAGUGUGAUACUAAUUGGAUAGAAAAAUUAAAAAGAAGUCAUGCUUAUGGCAUUAGUUAGGUUUUUUAUUGGCACGACUCAUUUAAGAAAAAUACUAAGGAGACCAUUAAGAAAAACAAUCAUCAAACGUUGUAGUAGUUACGUUUUUUAUUCUCCCUCUUCUUCCUUCGGAUGUUCAAAGGUGCAAAAAAAAAAAAGAGCCUUUUGCCAAGUUGAAGCAAGUAAUUACUCACCUUGAUAAGCAUAUAAAACGAGGAUUGUAUCUCUUUAUCAUUUUAAUAAGAAUUUAAUUAAUUCUUCCUAUGACUUUUCUUGCUUUCUCUCUGAUUUUAACAAUAUGAAUUCCAGGUGCCAAUGCUUCGAGGGAUAGACGAAGAUGUGUUCAAAAUAAUCUGUCAGAAACUCGAGCCUGUGAGGUAUACUGAGAACACCUUUAUUAUUCAAAAGGGUGAACAACUGGACAAGAUGGUCUACAUUGUAGACGGAUUUGUAUCCGUUGAAAAGAGAUCUUCUGUUGAUUCGAGACAAGGUGCAGGAGAAUUAUUUGGAGAAGAACUUCUACGUUUGCCAUUCUCCACUGACUUUCCUUUCACAAGACCGUUGGCAACUGAAUCUGUCAAGGCAAUUGGUGUUGUUGAAGCCCUUGCUCUCUACGCACAUGACUUGCAAAGUGUAAGCUCUUAAUCAAAUGCACAUUUCCCUAAUUACAAUUGAGCAUCCAUAGUAAAAUUAAUUGGGAUAAGAGAGAGAUCCAAGAAUUACCCCCCUUAUUUAAGCUAUCAGAUAAGACUUUCAUGUUUUCAAUGCAACCCUUCACAUGCGGGGCCAUUUAAGCCUAAUGUGUGGAGUAAACAACACAUAUUGAGUGAUGCAUAGCACGUAGAUAGCCUCAUCUGACACCCUAUUAAAAUUGAGCAUCCAUCUUAGUUAAAACCAUUGGCAAUAGGAGGGAGAGGGUUCAAAAUUAUUUAAAUUAGAUUCAUAUAAUCUGAAAACUUCAAUAAGCCUUUACGAAACUCUAACAACCUCAAUUUGAUUGUAAUUUGGCUACAUAUUCUUUUACUUGAACUAACGAACUCUAACAACCUUUUUGUUAUUUUGGAUCAAUAGAUAUACCGCAAAUUAGACAUUUUUGAAAAAGAGAAGCCUAGACACAGAAUAAUGAUGAAGGAGGAGAUUGAGCGAAAUAUAGAUGAAUUGAUAUGUAGUAAUGGAAUUCCUGAAAGGUUGAAUCAAGAUGUAAAGUCGCGGAUGAUGAAAAACGUGGAAGAAAAUUUUCAACAAGAUGAUCUUUAUUGGGAUUUGCUCGAUUGGGAUCAUCUCGUUUAUGGUCUUCCCUUGGAUUUUCAAAAAGAGAUCAUAAGUUACAUGCCGUUGACAAAGUUGAAGCAGGUAAAGUUUCUUCAAAUCCAUGAAUCCAUGGCUUUAAUUUUGAACAUAGAAUUUGAGGCAUUUAUUUAUUUGAAGCAGGUAAAGUUUCUUCAAAUCCAUGAGAUAUUAUAGCUCCCAGGCAUUUAAAUACAGCAUAACUAACGUGUACUAUACCAACCCCAACCUAGGGCCUAGGCUACAAAACAAUCUAGCAAUUGCCCAUGAAUAAGGUAGAGCGUAAGUACACGAGACAGAAAAAAACAAAACAAAAGAAAAAAUAAGCUGUCAAAUGGAAGAAUUCGUCAGCUAAUAAAGACCAUCCACUUAGAACUUUCUAACCCCUAUCCUUUCACACCAAUAAAUUUUAAAAGGAAAACCAUCCACUUGGAUGCUUUUUUAUAUUACUUGAAGCAUGUGAACAUUUGUAGUUAUUAUUAUCCAAAUAACCCAAAAAUGGUAAUUAACUAAAACCAGGAAAAAACAAUUAAAAAUAUGCUAUAAAAAAGUGAGUGCUAGAAACAAGAAAAACAUGACACUUAUGGGGUUGCAAUAAUGUCAUGAUUCAUUUAAGAAAAAUAUUAUGUGAUGAUUAAAAAAAUAAUAAUAAUUAAACACCGUAUUUUGUGGUCUACAAAUUAUAAUUUAAAUAGAUCUAAAGCCACAAUGCAUCAUUUCAACUGAGCAACAAUCACACCUUUCACAUUUACGUGGCCACUUUUUCUUGUAGUAAGCAAACACAAGAACGGUCCGAAGGCUGCAGAUUUUAAUAAAAACGUUAGAGAUUAAUGAUGGAUGGAAAGUUUUUAAAAUUCAUGAGUUAGUUAUAAGUAUAUACUUAUGUAUUAGAUUUUUUUAAUCCGUCAAUUAAGUUACUUAUAUGUUAUAAAAUGUAGGUGCUAGCAUUCCAAAACAUGGAUUAUAAAGUUCUGAAAGAAAUUUGUAACCACCUUCGGCCCAAGACGUAUAAUCGUAACGAUAACAUUAUUAAAAAGGGUGACCCAAUUCAAAUGUUGUUGAUUGUGGAAGGAAGAAUAGGCCAAGAAGGUUGGGUAAAAGACGCGGGAGAAAUCUAUGGAGAAGAACUUCUGGUUUGGCCAUUCUCAACCUCUUUCCCUGAUGAAGUACCUGCAGCAGCUAAGUCUCCUUUUGUAAUUACGGAUGUUGUUGAAGCCCUUGUUCUGACGGCCGGUGACAUGGAGAGUGUAGCCACCAAAUUCCGGAAGCAUUUCAUAAAAAAUUACGGCAAAUUCGUACGGAAAUCGGAAUUCGACCUUUUUACUGACUAUUAUUCUGAAGGGGCUAUUAAGGAGGCCACAAGAAACUACACUUGUUUGAACAAUCCAAAUGAAGAAGGCUAUGGAACAGUUUACCACACAGAAUUAGAUGGAAGAGCUGUCGCCAUAAAAACGUGCAACAGUGCUAUUGGUGACCCGUUCAUCCAAAGUCAACGUCUUGUUCAUGAGGCAUUUGUGCUUUUAGAAAUCAGUCACAAAAAUGUGGAGAGGCUGUUAGGUUGUUGUUUAGAGACAAGAUGGCCUAUAAUGGUUUAUGACCGCACCGAUGCUUUGACUCUUGCUGAGCACUUUCACAGAAACAGAUCGAAACUCUCGUUGGAAUCACGAAUGAAGAUAGCAGCAGAAACUGCAGGAGCUCUAGCACAUGUGCACUCCAGGUCAGUCAUACACCGAGAUGUGAAGACAACGAAUAUAUUAGUAGAUCGUACAACUCACACUGUACAAGUUACCGGUUUUGGAGCUUCGCGAUUGCUUGAUGAAGAUGAAGUAUCAACUUUGCCAGGGACAUCCAGACACUUAGACCCCGAGUAUUAUCUUAAAUCACACGACGUCUAUAGCUUUGGAGUUGUUCUAGUGGAGCUACUAACACAUCAAGAGGCAGUUUCUUCUAAUGGGUCUGAGACAUCCCUAGCAAACGACUUUGUUCGUUCAGUGCAAGAGGAUCGCUUGGGCCAAAUUCUCGAUGGUGAAAUAAACAGAGACAAGUUCAGUUUUGAGAUGGCCAAAAAAGUGAGCGAGCUUGCCGUGACAUGUUUGAGGUCAAGGGAGGAGGAAAGGCCUUCAAUGGAAAAAGUAGCUGAGGAGCUUGAGGGAGUAGUGCAAACCAUUAGAAACAGGGUAGAGUAUUCUACGGUGGACGAUAAUGUAUCUUCGGCUUCUAGAACUUCCGAGUGAAGUAUUGAUGUGAACCCGUGCGGCUGGUUUCAGUUUGAGUCUGUGCUUGUGAAAUAAUUGACAAGUCAGAUGCAUUUGCUAGUUUGAGGAAACCGUGGAAUUUGGAAUUAGUAUCAAAUAUUGUAACUUAUAUAUUUUUGCCCAUUUAAUUUAUCUUUGCCCUUCUCUUGGCACAAACAUCUGGAAUUAUCUAUUGGUCCCCACAGAAAUCCAUAAUCUCUAAAAAGAGAUGGCCGAAAUUCAGAACUAGAGAACCAUAAAUAGAAUCCACUAGAAAGUGUCUCGUUGUCGUAGGAUUGAAAAUAAAUAAAACAUUGUGCUGCUGAUCCUUUUUUUUUUUUUUUUUUUUUGCAUUAUACUUAACAAAUUUACAAUGUCAAACAACAAACUGGCAGCUGGAAAGGGGAAAAUGACUACUAAAAAAUCAACACUAUUUCAACUAAACCUAUACCCCAACCAAGCAAAACCAAAUGCACACUGAUAAUACCUUGAAGUAUAAAAAUAAGGAACCAAGCAGAUGCAACAAAUGUAACAUCAUUUCAAUAGCAAAAACGAAAACUGACAUUUGGUUCAAAAAUAUUAGAGGAAGUAUAGGUCAUAGUGUGUGAUAUGCAAAAGUGCUAGUAAUUCAAAUUUCCAACAUGCUCAGCAAAUCUCUAACUUUUCAGAAGUAAUUAAAUUGAAACUAAUAGAUGUUUCUUCUGCAUACUAAAUAUUGAAGAUUCGCUACGAAGAAUGAAUCCGUAACUUACUUAGGUUUCAAAGUGGACUACACAAUCCAUUAAUCUAAACAGAACUGUCCCAGCAAAGCAAACAAUUUAAUCUCAUUCCUCCAGAAAUGGCAUGUUUUAUUACUUCAACAACAACAACAAAGCCUUUUCCCACUAAGUGGGGUCGGCUAUAUGAAUCCUAGAACGCCAUUGCGCUCGGUUUUGUGUCAUGUCCUCCGUUAGAUCCAAGUACUCUAAGCCUUUUCUUAGAGUCUCUUCCAAAGUUUUCCUAGGUCUUCCUCUACCCCUUCGGCCCUGAACCUCUGUCCCGUAGUCACAUCUUCGAACCGGAGCGUCAGUCGGCCUUCUUUGCACAUGUCCAAAUCACCGGAACCGAUUUUCUCUCAUCUUUCCUUCAAUUUCGACUACUCCUACUUUACCUCGGAUAUCCUCAUUCUCAAUCUUAUCCUUUCUCGUGUGCCCACACAUCCUACGAAGCAUCCUCAUCUCCGCUACACCCAUUUUGUGUACGUGUUGAUGUUUCACCGCCCAACAUUCUGUGCCAUACAACAUCGCUAGCCUUAAUGUCGUCCUAUAAAAUUUUCCCUUGAGCUUCAGUGGCCUACGACGGUCACACAACACGCCGGAUGCACUCUUACACUUCAUCCAUCCAGCUCGUAUUCUAUGGUUGAGAUCUCCAUCUAAUUCUCCGUUCUCUUGCAAGAUAGAUCCUAGGUAGCGAAAACGGUAGCUUUUGUGAUCUUCGCUAGAUUGCUCCGGUCAUUAGUGUGGAUAAGUAUAUAAAUGGAUAGAGAUAGGAAAGCAAACACAAGAUGUACGUGGUUCACCCAGAUUGGCUACGUCCACGGAAUAGAAGAGUUCUCAUUAAUUGUGAAGGGUUUACACAAGUACAUAGGUUCAAGCUCUCCUUUAGUGAGUACCAGUGAAUGAUUUAGUACAAAUGACAUUAGAGUACAAAUGACAUUAGGAAAUAUUGUGGGAGAAUGAUCUCGUAAUCACGAAACUUCUAAGUAUCGGAGUGUGGUAUCAUCUUGACUUGCCUUAUCUGUCUCAUAGGUAGAUGUGGCAGCUUCUCUGGAAGUACUCUUCCUCCAUCCAGGGGUGGUAUCUUUAACUGGUAAAGAUGCACAAGGUAAUGUAUCAAUUUCACUUGAAGCUUACUUGUAGUGUCAGGCUUGGUCCAGCGCGAUACAAACCAUGUAGUAGGAGUCCCCCAAGUCGCCGAGCUAGGGGAUCUGCUGAAAGAGGUGACAGACAAGGUAAGCAAUCAGAGCUCCGGCUGAUUGUUCACCUUCUCCUCAUCUUGCAGCAGCAUGAAGGAUAAAGAGAAGAAAAAUGAGAAUAGAUGAUAUGGGAUACUUUUGCUUUUGAAGAAGUAACUUUCCACAGGCUUAUUCUUGAACUGAGCUGGAGGGUUUUCUAGUUUCCUCCAGAGUAUAAGGCCGACUGAAGAAUUUGAGGGUCAAAACAAGUCCAUCAAAUCUAGAGUACGUUCGACCCUGCUGAUAUGGGAUACUUUUGCUUUUGACAGAGUAAUGGAUGUAUCGGCACGUGUGCUGUUACGCUUGUCUCCACAUGCUUCCUUGUAUCCUUCGCACUUGCCCUAUCUGUUGCUCAAGCAGAUGCGAUAUCUUCCCUGGAAACAUAAGAUGUUGAAGAUGAGUACUCGAGAGCAAUGCCAGGUAAGUAAUCAGGUAAGGGGUUCCAGGCAGUCAGUUCCUGGCUGGGAGCUUGAUUUCAAGUGCUGACUGAUUGCUCUAUUUCUCCUUGUCUUGCAGGUAAAAACAAGGCCAAAGGUAAAGACAGGGAAAAAGCAUGAUAUGGGAUACUCUUGCUUUUAACCCUGAUGAUAUGAGAUAUUCUUGCUCUAGUAUAGCUUGAUUGCAGAGGUAUUAUCGGGGGGAAAGAAAGCUGAAUAUUUCGAAAGGUUUCGUUGGGAAUGCCCUCUCAGAUAUAAGGAAGGGUUGAGCAUUUUUGCAGGUCUGCCUGUCCGUUGGGGAUGAAGGUCGACAUAUAUAGGAGUCUCCCUAACAACAAGUAGUAAUGCUAUUCCUUUACCCUGCUUGGUCAUAGCACGGUAGUGGGAGCUGUCAGCUUCACAUGUUUUAACUCUGUCAAAGCACUUUGAAAAAGUGGUAUGUGGUAUCUGGCUCUCGAGAUUCGGAGAACGAUGCUUCUUCGAUUUUUGAGAAAGCAAUCAUGCUGGGGGUCUGGCUCUCGAGAUUCGGGGAGCAGUGUCUCUUCGAUUUUUGAGAAAGUAAUCAUGUUGGGAGUCUGGCUCUCGAGAUUCGGAGGGCGGUGCCUCUUCGAUUUUGGAGUAAGCAAUCUUGUUGGGAGUGUUUUCUCGGAUGUGAGUAAAGGUUAGGCAUGUUUGCUAGUCUACCUUGCCACGAAGCACGGAGGUUGACACAUAGGAACUUUCCAAUUAUCCAGCAGUGGUACUGUUCCUUUACCCUUGUGGGUAAUAAUAUGGUAGCAAGACCUUCAAAAUUUAUGUGUCUAAACUUUGUUAGUGCUGUUUCUUUGCUAUUGUUUUACCUUUCUACUUCACCAGAAGUCUUCGACAAAAUGCCCAUAAUUUUCGCAAAGCUGAGUGUGCGUGUGACAGGUGCUGACAAGGCUAGAAAAGUAGGUGCCUCUUCGAUUUCUGAGAUCGGCCCUCGAGGUCUCUGAGCAGCCCAGCUUUUGAGAAAGCGAGCGCCUCUUCGAUUGAUUCGGAGAACGAUGCCUCUUCGAUUUUUGAGAAAGCAAUCAUGCUGGGGGUCUGGCUCUCGAGAUUCGGGGAGCAGUGUCUUUUCGAUUUUUGAGAAAGUAAUCAUGUUGGGAGUCUGGCUCUCGAGAUUCGGAGGGCGUGCCUCUUCGAUUUUGGAGCAAGCAAUCUUGGUGGGAGUGUUUUCUCGAAUGUGAGUAAAGGUUGGGCAUGUUUGCUAGUCUACCUUGCCACGAAGCACAGAGGUUGACACACAGGGACUUUCCAAUUAUCCAGCAAAGGUACUGUUCCUUUACCCUCUCUUCGAUUUUUGAGAAAGUAGUCAUAUUGGGAGUCUGGCUCUCGAGAUUCGGAGGACGAUGCCUCUUCGAUUUUGGAGCAAGCAAUCUUAUUGGGAGUGUUUUCUCGAAUGUGAGUAAAGGUUGGGCAUGUUUGCUAGUCUACCUUGCCACGAGGCACAGAGGUUGACACACAGGGACUUUCCAAUUAUCCAGCAGUGGUACUGUUCCUUUACCCUUGUGGGUAAUAAUAUGGUAGCUAGACCUUCAAAAUUUAUGGGUCUAAACUUUGUUAGUGCUGUUUCUUUGCUAUUCUUUUACCCUUCUUGGUCAGAGCGAUGUAAUGGGAGCGGCAAGCUUCACGUGCUCAACUUUGGCAGAGAACUUUGGCAAAGUUAUCUGUGGUACCCAUGAGCUAUUGUUGUGUGUGGGAAGUGGGUGAUUGGACAGUAAGAUUCAUGUGUUUUCUACUUCCCCAGAAAUCUUCGACAGAAUACCCAUAAUUUCCGCAAAGCUGAGUGUGCGUGUGACAGGUGCUGACAAGGCUGGAAAAGUAGGUGCCUCUUCGAUUUCUAAGAUCGGCCCUCGUGGUCUCUGAGGAGCCCAGCUUUUGAGAAAGCGAGCGCCUCUUCGAUUUCUGAGAUCGACUUUCGUGGUCUUUGAGCAGCCCAACUUUUGAGAAAGCAAACACCUCUUCGAUUUAUGAGAUCAACCCUCGUGGUCUCUAAGCAGCCCAGCUUUUGAGAAAGCAAACGCCUCUUCGAUUUCUGAGCAGGCGCCUCUUCGAUGUCUGAAGCUCCGUCGAGUGCAACUUUUUAUAGGGGCUAGCAUUAAGUUCCAAAGCACACUUGAAUCUCCACCAGUAGAAGCUCCAUUCUUGCACUUCUAAGAUCUUGAUUUGUCCGACCUCUUCUCUCUUCAACACCUUUGAAAAUGUCUGGCCCCUCCGACUGUCGUUUUGACUUGAACCUUGUUGAAGAGGCAGCCCCGCCUUCUCCAGACAACAUAUGGCGCCCAUUCUUCGUUUCCCCUACUGGUCCUCUUACCGUUGGGGAUUCCGUGAUGAAGAAUGAUAUGACCGCUGCGGUGGUGGCCAGGAACCUUCUCACUCCCAAACAUAACAGACUACUUUCCAAACGGUCUGAUGAGUUAGCUGUUAAGGAUUCGCUGGCUCUCAGUGUUCAGUGUGCAGGUUCUGUGUCUAAUAUGGCCCAACGCCUAUUUGCUCGAACCCGCCAAGUUGAAUCAUUGGCGGCCGAAGUGAUGAGUCUCAAACAGGAGAUUAGAGGGCUCAAGCAUGAGAAUAAACAGUUGCACCGGCUCGCACAUGACUAUGCUACAAACAUGAAGAGGAAGCUUGACCAGAUGAAGGAAACUGAUGGUCAGGUUUUACUUGAUCAUCAGAGAUUUGUGGGUUUGUUCCAGAGGCAUUUAUUGCCUUCGUCUUCUGGGGCUGUACCGCGUAAUGAAGCUCCAAAUGAUCAACCUCUGAUGCCUCCUCCUUCUAGGGUUCUGUCCAGUACUGAGGCUCUGAAUGAUCCCCCUCCGAUGCCUUCUCUUUCUGGGGCUCUACCGACUGCUGAGACUUCUCCUAAGCAACCUUUGUGAAGGCUCCAUCUUGUUUGUUUAUUUUGACUCAUGUAUAUGUACAUAUUUGUAGCUUAUCGGGGAUAUCAAUAAAUAAGCUUUCCUUCAUUUCAACGUAUUGUGUUAAAUACACCAAAGCCUUCUUCGCUAAGUUCUUUGAAUUUUCUUUUGUUGAAGCUUGUAUGUUGAAGCUUUCUGAGUGGAGCAUGUAGGUUGGGGUAGUGUUCCCUUAAUUUUCCGAGUGAGGAAAACUUCUCGGUUGGAGACUUGGAAAAUCCAAGUCACUGAGUGGGAUCGGCUAUAUGAAUCUUAGAACGCCAUUGUGCUCGGUCCUGUGUCAUGUCCUUCGUUAGAUCCAAGUACUCUAAGUCUUUUCUUAGAGUCUCUUCCAAAGUUUUCCUAGGUCUUCCUCUACCCCUUCGGCCCUGAACCUCUGUCCCAUAGUCGCAUCUUCUAAUCGGAGCGUCAGUAGGCCUUCUUUGCACAUGUCCAAACCACCGUAACCGAUUUUCUCUCAUCUUUCCUUCAAUUUCGGCUACUCCUACUUUACCCCGGAUAUCCUCAUUCCUAAUCUUAUCCUUUCUCGUGUGCCCACACAUCCAACGAAGCAUCCUCAUCUCCGCUACACCCAUUUUGUGUACGUGUUGAUGCUUCACCGCCCAACAUUCUGUGCCAUACAGCAUCGCCGGCCUUAUUGCCGUCCUAUAAAAUUUUCCCUUGAGCUUCAGUGGCAUACGGCGGUCACACAACACGCCAGAUGCACUCUUCCACUUCAUCCAUCCAGCUUGUAUUCUAUGGUUGAGAUCUCCAUCUAAUUCUUCGUUCUUUUGCAAGAUAGAUCCUAGGUAACGAAAACGGUCGCUCUUUGGUAUUUCUUGAUCUCUGAUCCUCACCCCUAACUCGUUUUAGCCUCCAUUUGCACUGAACUUGCACUCCAUAUAUUCUGUCUUUGAUCGGCUUAUGCGAAGACCUUUAGAUUCCAACACUUCUCUCCAAAGGUUAAGCUUUGCAUUUACCCCCUCCUGAGUUUCAUCUAUCAACACUAUAUCGUCUGCGAAAAGCAUACACCAAGGAAUAUCAUCUUGAAUAUGUCCUGUUAACUCAUCCAUUACCAACGCAAAAAGGUAAGGACUUAAGGAUGAGCCUUGAUGUAAUCCUACAGUUACGGGAAAGCUUUCGGUUUGUCCUUCAUGAGUUUUUACGGCAGUCUUUGCUCCUUCAUACAUAUCCUUUAUAGCUUGGAUAUAUGCUACUCGUACUCUUUUCUUCUCUAAAAUCCUCCAAAGAAUGUCUCUUGGGACCCUAUCAUACGCUUUUUCCAAAUCUAUAAAGACCAUGUGUAAAUCCUUUUUCCCAUCUCUAUAUCUUUCCAUCAAUCUUCGUAAGAGAUAGAUUGCCUCCAUGGUUGAGCGCCUGGCAUGAACCCGAAUUGGUUGUCCGAAACCCGUGUCUCUUGCCUCAAUCUAUGCUCAAUGACUCUCUUCCAGAGCUUCAUUGUAUGACUCAUUAACUUAAUACCCCUAUAGUUCAUGCAAUUUUGUACGUCGCCCUUAUUCUUGUAGAUAGGCACCAAAGUGCUCGUUCGCCACUCAUUUGGCAUCUUCUUCGUUUUCAAAAUCUUAUUGAAAAGGUCAGUGAGCCAUGUUAUACCUGUCUCUCCCAAAACUUUCCACACUUCGAUUGGUAUAUCGUCUGGGCCUAUUGCUUUUCUAUGCUUCAUCUUCUUCAAAGCUACAACCACUUCUUCCUUCCGGAUUCGACGAUAAAAAGAGUAGUUUCUACACUCUUCUGAGUUACUCAACUCCCCUAAAGAAGCACUCCUUUCAUGUCCUUCAUUGAAAAGAUUAUGAAAAUAACCUCUCCAUCUGUCUUUAACCGCGUUCUCUGUAGCAAGAACCUUUCCAUCCUCAUCCUUGAUGCACCUCACUUGGUUUAGGUCCCUUGUCUUCUUUUCCCUUGCUCUAGCUAGUUUAUAGAUAUCCAACUCUCCUUCUUUGGUAUCUAGUCGUUUAUACAUAUCGUCGUAAGCCGCUAACUUAGCUUCUCUGACAGCUUUCUUCGCCUCUUGCUUCGCUUUUCUAUACUUUUCACCAUUUUCAUCGGUCCUCUCCUUGUAUAAGGCUUUACAACAUUCCUUCUUAGCCUUCAAAGCAAGUGGUUCUUAAUGAGUUAAUCUCCAAUGAUAUUACCUCUCUCUCGAGUCUUUGGGUGGUAUUGCAAAACCAAUAUCAUCAUCUAUAGCAGUCUGUUGUAGUCAAAGUGUCGCAGUAGUUUCUUAGCCAUGCAGAAGCAGAUUUGAGGAUACGAAGUUCACCAUUGAGGAGAUCCUGAGCCAUUUGCCUCCAGAGAAAGUCUUUCGCAUGUAACUGGAGAACUUAUGGGUUCCAAAGACUAUGCAUGCACUCGAGAAGCACAAAAAGGAGUUACUACAUUUGUAGUCAGAUGCAACAUUAUGUAAACCAUAGAAAUGAUUAUAUUAAAAUUCCACUCUCUUCGUAUGUUUAUUACUGCUUCCCAAACUCCUACGACUUCUCCAGUUAUAAAAUUCCUCAACUUCAUUAACAUCUCAACCAAAAUGAGUAUAUUACUGCAACACGUCAACUGAUUCAGUAUGCGUAUGCUUAAGAAUUCUUUCUUUCACAAGAACCGUAAUUGGUGUAUGCUCUCGGAAUUAAUGCAUUAUCAUAGAAAAUAAUGAACUCUUGUUUAACUUAGCUUAGACAAGUUCUCUAAACAAAGGGGGUCAAAAGUUAGUAUCUUUUACCUGGAUAGAUGCAUCACAAUCCACAGCUGAUUGGGUUAAUUUUGAUAACAUCUGAUGUGCUUCAAUCUCUCUGCUGCUGUUUGUUAAAGGACGUCGAGCCAAUCAACCAUCAUGUUCUGUAACUUCUUUGGCCAGGUCACUAAGUUCUGAAUAUUAAGAAACAAUCAAUAAACUAUUUGCAGAUGAGUCAUAAGGUUAAAUGAGCUCAGAAGCAUAUUAAGCAAUGCAUGCGAGUAAGUUAACAUGAAGAGAAACACACCUUAAGGAGAGGCGCAACAUAGAACACGAGCAAAAGCACGAAGUGACUGAGGAAUUCCUUUCCCUUUUCCACUACCAGACCUAACUUCCCUAUGUCAUCAUACGAUUAUUGUAAUCAGUAAAAGAUUUUCAUCACAAGAUAUCAAGUCAUCACGCGGAUAAACGCAUUAGUUAAACAAGACUGGAAAUGGAACAAAAGAAACAGAAUAUUUGACUUCACAGAGUACCACUAGAUACGGGGGAUAAAGCCUAAAGGCCAUCAUGUAGGCAAAGGAACAUAAAUAGGGGAACAAAGGAAAUAAAAGAGAUACAGUGCAUCACUACCAACUUGAUAGUGAAAGAAUCCAUUGAAGAGUCAAAACCAUUGACAGCAUUACUGAUUGGUCUGUGAUCUCUCUU